AAAUACCAAAGAAAUUAAGCAUCAAUUGUACAUAAUUAAUCUGAAUAUCAGAGCUAGAGUCCAAACAUAUAUCAAAUUAAGUUUUGUUUUUUGUUAAUUAUAAAAAUGAAGAAGUUGCAGCUUCUUGAUCUCUUCUUUUUUGUUUCUAUUGUUUCCAUCGUCCUUUUGGUUUCUCAAGAAGUUGAUGGAAGGAAGUCUUUACUCCAAAAAGAAGGUAGAGAUGAUUUUAAUAAGCUUGUCAAACAAAGUACUACUUUAGAUGCAGAUUUUCAUGGUGAAAUGGUGGGUCGUAAUCAAAAGAAAAAAUUACCAACUGAUUUGGAAGAUAAUCCUGAGGAUCAAAAGGGCGAAAAUUCUGAAGCUGAUGAAAAAGGAUCAGAGGAAGAAGACGUUCCUGGUGAGGAAGAAGGAGAAUAUGGAGAUCUUGGGGAUGUUGGAGACCUUGGAGAUUGUGGAGGAGACGAAUCUGGAGGUCCUGGAGGAGAUUUUGUAUAUCCUAAUAAUUGUGGAGGAGAAUUUGGAGAUGAUGAUGGAGGAGCUUUGGAAGGAGAUGAUGGAGAAGGUCCUGGAUCAGAAGAAUCUGGGGAAGCACCUGAAGAUCAGGAUGGAGGAGAAUCUGGAGAAGAGGUUAGUAGGGACAAGAAUGGAGAAGAAUAUUCUAAAGAAAAGGCACCUGGAGACAAUUAAGUGAACAUUCUAAAGAUUGUAAAUGAUAUGAUGGAGAUAAAUGAGUGAUGACAUGCAUAAAUAUAAUAACAAUAAUAGCUAGUGUACGUUGUAGAGUAUAAUAAAGAAGACAAGAAUAAAAAGUAUAUUGUUGGAUGAAAACAAAAACAAAAACAAAUUCUAGUGUUUAAAUUCAUAGGAAUAUAUGGUAUCGAAUUAAAAUUAUAUGUAUGCAAUUAAUAAAAGCUAGUAAGAUAAAUAUAUAAGAGGCAUUAUGAUAUAGUGUUUAAAGUUUGAUUUUGAGUCAUACAUUUGAUCUCCAAGCUAAGGAAUAUAUGUGCAUGUGUAUUAUACACAACUUACCUAAAAUAAGGGCUUUUUAAUUCUUUCUUUUUUUCUUCACACAAUAAAUUAGUUUUUUCUUUUUCUUUUUCUUUUUCUUUUUCCUUUUUAACUUAAAUGAGCUUUAGAUUUUUUUUCUUUAUCAAAUUGUAUUAAAUUAUGGUUAAUUAUAUUAUAAUAAAUUCCUAUAUAUCUUUUUUUUUUUUCAUGUAUUGGAGCUAAAACAUAUUAGAAAAAUCAAACUUCUAAGGUUGAAAUUAAUAACACAAACACUAUCUCAAUUCAGUUAUAAUCAUGUUUGGCUUCCAUAAAUAAUUUUAUAUAAAAUUUAAUUGUCCAUUUAAACUUUAAUGAUUUUAUUAAACUAUCUUUUUAAGUGUGAAGGUUUCUAAACCAUCUCGAGUCUUUAUAAAAAGAAAUUAUAAUAUGUAUAUGCCAAUUAAUGUGUAAGAAAUUAGAAAUUAAAAGUAUGUAUGAAAAUAACUAACAUAUGGUGAUAGAUAUGGUAGACAUACUUACCUGAAAACAUGAUCAAUUUUUUCUAAUUGUAUCUAAUAUUUCUAUUAGAAAUUAACAUGCAUUACUACCUAAUUAAAUAGGGUUAAUGAAACUCACGCUUGAAGCUCCGAUUCACUUGAAAUCUCCAGUCGAUCUCGAACUAGACCACCACUAGUGCUGACCCACUAUUCUCCAGACUUAGAACCGGCUUGUGGGAUCCAAUAAAGGUGAAGAAAUUAAGAGAGAUAUGAAUAGAAAUUGGAUUAGGGUUGAGAGGAUUUUAGAUGAGUUUUAUUUUUAAUUUUAAAGAAAAAUAAACUAACUUCUCAAAUGUCUUUACAUAUUUGAAAAAUCAAUCUUUAAAUAGACAAAAUGCAUGCAACUAUUGUAUGUCUAAACUCACCAAGGCCCAACAUCUCAUAUUCUAUUAACUUUUAGUGGGCUUGGUGUCAUCAUCAUAAACUUCCCAGUUAGCCCAUUAAUGAGUUAAUAGAAUUAUGCAAAAAUGCACUUUCUUUUAGUGGGCUUGGUAUCUCAUUACCACGAGUUUUCACAUAGCCUACUAAAAGUUAGUGAGAUUAUCCAACAAGUUAUUGGAUUUUCUCACUAACUUUAGUCAAAUGGUAAAAUGGUCAUUUAACCAUUCAAGAUAAAGUCAAAAGUCAACAUUUUGACUUUUUAAUAUUUAGCUGGUCUAGACUAUUUCUAAUUUCAUGAGCAUGAAUUCACAUUCAUUUUUCCAAAAUUCAAAUCACAUUUUAAUAUAUUGUGAAUCAAAAAUUGACUUUUCAAAUUUAAAAGUCAACUCUUUAACUUUUCUCCUAUUUCCAUUAUAUUUGAGCUUUUGAAUAUGAUUCUACAUUCGCAGUUUUUUAUAUUUAAAUCAUAUUUAAAUAUAAAGCUCUCUAUCUCUAAACUAAUAACCAAUUGUUAGAUCACAUAUAUUUGUCGGUUUCUCUCUCCUUUCAUAAUUCAAACUAUACGAACUAAUCCAACAUAUUGUUCUAAGUUAAUUCCAUAUGAGCUAGCAGAGGAACCUAAUUGACCUAUAGAUCAUGGGCUCCAACGAUCCGAAAUUAACUGAUUAAAUACUUUUAGACCAAGUUAAUCAACAUUUGUUAACUAUCGAGUCAUUCCACUAAAAUCUCGGAGUUGCACUCCCCUUACUAUAGAUAUAUGUUGUGUCCAUCUGAUAUAACCACGAUUGGUAAGUUAACCUUUCACACAGGUUGUUCGUAACAUCGGUUAAGUCAUAAUACCGUUUUACCUUUGAGAUUACAUAUUGCUCCUUAAGUCCCACUGAUCCACUAUUAAACAAUGAGUUUAAGGUCCAACUUAUAAACUGAAUCUCUCUUGAGACCAAUUAGAAGGUAGGGCCCCUUGUUCAAGACUUGGAUUCAGUCUUCAAAUAAACAACCUAUCUACUAAUCAUAUAGUUUAUAGGAGUGAAUUCCAUCUUGGCACCUUGUGCCUCCAGCCAUCCACCCGAUCUUAUCCCUUAAAUGAGAGGCUUAUUAGUUCAACGCUAUUAAGAUACCAUCACCUAUGCAUAUCUAAGGAUAACCUCGUGUGGACAGAAGUCCAUAGUUAGCUCAAGAUUAAGAUUAAGCUACCUAAGUCAUCAAUAAUCAAAAUAGUCAGUUUUUUACAAUCAACGGUGUUAUAAUAUAAAAGUGACUAUUUCAGGGUUUUGGUCUUAUAUAAGCUUUUUACAUAGAAUCCCCACUUUCAUAUCUUCGCAUGAACGAUUUAGAAUCACUUCGUUUGUACUAACUACAAAACGGGCUGCUUCCAUAAUGUCCCCAAAGGUGCCUAACCUUAUUAAUAUACUAUAUAUCGUUUAGGCUAUAUACUCAAACUUGAUCCACAUAUAUAUGCUUUUACAUAAAGUCGUUCAAGUUUACUCAAGAAAACCUUGAGACCUUAGUUUAUUGAAUUUAAUAUAUAGUAUUCAAUUUCACUUUAGUUCCUCAAAUAUGAUUUUAAAUUAUAAACUACAAGUUUUCUAACAUAAAUUCAACCUAUGAUAUGGAGUGAAAAUGAUACAUCUUUUUUAUUUAAAUAAACAGUAACAUCAGUCUAAAUAUUAUUAUAAAAAAUUGAAUAAGAUUGAUGACAUGUAUACUUUCAAAUUUUUACCACUAAACUAUUGUAUCAAUUUUAAUUGAUCGCCAGAGAGAUAUAAAGAAGAAGAAGAAGAAAGAAAGAAAAACUCUCCAAAAGUCCUUAAGCAAUACUUGAUUUAUAAGUGAUACUGACUUCAUUUUUUAAAUUUUGAGUUGAGUGAUGAGCAUUGGAAUAAUAAUCAAUUUCUUUUUGUAGUUUACUUAUGGUUGGAUUCAUUACAGUAAGACCUCAUUCAGAAUAAAUGAAGGAAGGUGGGUAAUUCUACAAAUAAUUAAGUAUGUGUUUCGAUGUUGAAUGAGUUAUUAUAGUUUAAGAGUUUUAUAAUAAAUUGUAUAUUAUUAUAGGUUAUGUUUGAUGCGCAAAGGAUUAAUAACAUAUGUUAUUAUAGUCUUAUGUUUGAAGUGCAUAGUAUUACAGUUUAAGUUAUUACCGUGUAUGUUUGAAGUACAAAUUAUUAUUAGUCCAAACUAUAGCAAUAUAAAUAUAAAAUAAAUAUUAAUUAACUUAAAUCAUGUUUUGGUAUUAUCCAUUAAAAUUUAUAUAAACUAGUUUUUUACUACAUGCACUUUUUAUAAUAUAAUAUCUUUUAUAAAAAUUGAUUUGUGAUUUUACAUACUAUAUAUAUAGUAAUAUUAUCCAUUAAAAUCAAGGAAACAUUAAUUUUAAACAAAGAAGAAAAAAAGAGAUAAUUUUAAAUUAAAGAUAACCUAACGAUAAUAAUAAUAAUUUAGAAAAAAAGCAUCAAAAAGGAAAAAAAAUGAGAAAAUGUAUUUUUAAAAAAUAGUAUUAUAAUUAAAGUAAAAGCGUAUUUGGAAUGGCUUAGAAUUUUUUUUUCAAUAAUUCUUUUUUAUUUAAACACGUUUGAUACAAACUUCUUAAAAUAAAAACACAAAUGUGUUUGUUCACACGAGAUUUCGAAGAAAUGUAUUUCGUGGAAUUGAACAUUGAUAUAUUGAUGAAUAUUGAAUAUUGUGAAUACAAUCUCUAGUAUUUACUCUUUUGAUAUUUUUCCUCGAAUACAAGUUAAAAACUUAAAACUUCUUGGUCUUCGGUCUUCAGAAUGUUUUAGUUGCAAGUCGAUUUGAACUUCGAUCUUCUGGAAUUUAAGUAAUAAUCAUGUCAUCAACAUAGAGAAGAAGAAGAACGAUACCAUAGGGUGUGUGGCGAGUAAAGAGCGCAAUAUCAUGAGGGCUAGAAGAAAAUCCAAGUUGAGUAAUGGUAGAGCUAAAUAUGGCAAACCAAGCUCGUGAAGCCUGUUUCAAACCAUAUAAUGUCCGACGCAGGAGACACACCUUAUGAGGAGGUGGAGACGUACCAGGAGGUGGCUUCAUAUAGACUUCUUUGGAAAGAGUUCCAUUAAGAAAUGCAUUUUUUACAUCCAUUUGAAGGAGAAGUCAUUUCUUGGCAGCAGCAACGACUAAUAGACUUCGAAUAGACGUCAUGAGAGCCACAUGAGCAAACAUUUCUUCAUAGUCAAUACCAUAUUCUUGCGAGCAUCUUUUUGCAACAAGUCGAGCCUUAUAACGUUCAAUGGUGCCAUCAGAGUGAGUCUUGAUUUUAUAAAUCCACUUGCAACCAAUGGGUUUUACCAGGAGGUAAAUCAACAUAGUCCCAAAGUGUGCGUCUUUUCAAGAGCUUGUAAUUCAUCAUUCAUUGCUUGUUGCCAUAAAGGGUCAGUAAUAGCCUCUUGAUAAGAGGUAGGUUCAACAAGAGAGAAAAUAGUGGAAAAACAAUGAUAAUCUUGAAGAUGGAUGAGAGAUUCUCUUAUCCGGGCAUAACGAUGAAGAGGGAUAUCUGGAGUAGGUUCAGGACUAUCAUCAAAGACGAAUGACUGGUUCGAGUUUGCAGGAGUAGGUGCAGAUUAAGUGAGCUCUGUAUCAGAAGUGGACUCAGAGAGAAGAAAAAGAUCAACUGAUGUAUCAGUGAAGAAAGAACGAGGACUAAAGAAGGAGGUGUGAAAGGAGGACAAGUGAGAGAACAUAGUAUGUUCCCAAAAUGUGACAUGGCGAGAUAUAUGAAGUCUGUUAGAAAUAAGGUCCCAACAACGAAAACCUUUUUGUUCUGUGCCACAACCAAGAAAGCAACAAAGGCGGACACGUGGUUUAAGUUUAAUGUGUUCAUGAGGAUGGAGAAGAACAAAGCAAGCACAAUCGAAAACUUUAAGGUUAGAGUAGUUAGGAGAAGUACCAUAAAGUCUUUCGAAUGGAGAGAUGUUCUGAAGAACAGAGGAAGGAAGUCGGUUGAUGGUUGCUUCACCCCAAAAUUUUUUAGGAGAAGAGGUAGAGAGAAGGAGCGCACGUACUGAGUGAAGGAUGUGACGAUGUUUGCGCUAAACACACCCAUUAUGUUGAGAAGUGUGGGGACAGGAGCGCAGAACAAGAGUGCCCUACUAAGAGAGAAAAGAAAGGAGGGUGAAGUCUUUAUACUCCAAGGCAUUAUCAGUGGAGAGGAUUUUAAUAGGACAAGAGAAUUGAGUGUGAAUCAUGGUAGCAAACUCAAUAUAAGUGUGAGAUAAUUCAGAGCAAUGUUUAAGAAAGUAAAACCAUGUAAAUCGAGAAAAACCAUCAAUAAAAAUAACAUAGCAGCGAUAGUUUCAUGGACAGUGGUAGUGGGGGCAGGAUCCCAAAUAUCAUAAUGAAUUAAAUCAAAAUGUUUAUCGCAUAUAGAAGUGGAGUGAGAAAAAGACAAAGCAGGUUGCUUAGCAAGUUUGCAAUUUAAAUAAUUAAAAGGAACAAACUUACUACGUUAUUCAAAUUGGUAGCAAAAAUUAAAUAACAAAGUUUUUCGGAAGAAGCAUGACCAAGACGAAGGUGCCACUAAUAUGUAUCAAAGUCAGUGACAGGAGCAGAGAUGGAUGAAGGAGGAGAAAGCUGGAGUAAUAGGAGCUCAAAUAAUCUUCCCACUUUGUGACAUAUCCCAAUCAUCUGUCUCGUCUGCGGAUCCUGAACCUGACAACCAUUAGGAGAAAAAGACACGGUUAAUCCAAGAUCAUACAGUUGGGACACAGUAAGUAUGAGGAAGACUCAAACUAGGGGUAUCAAUGGUGUCAAUAUGGGAGAUGUUCAUACAAUUGUCAUCAGCAUCAUAAAUUGGAGGUAAAGAUUUAGCAGAGCGAGAAGUAUUGAUAAGAUAAAAAUAAGAUGUUUUCUGGUUGCAACAAGCAGAGUCAAGAAGCCAUCGAUUACCUUGUGAGACGGCAAGUGCAGAGGAAGAUAAUGAAAUUAACUGAUUUAAUAGGCUCUGAAGAUCACUUAUCUGAAAAUGGGGAGAGGUGGAAUCAUUUGAGGCAGCUUCAACAACAGAGGAGGUGCCAAGUUUAGUAAAGUUCUUUGCUUUAGGAGAAUAACCUGGAGGUCAAGGUAGUCUUGUGGGGCAACUAUCCAGAAUAUGUCCAUGUUUAUGGUAGUACCUACACUCUAUUUUAGAAAAAUUAAUGAAUUUAUGACCGGAGAGCCUACAGUUUUUACAAAAAGCAUUUGAUGCUCCAUUGGAUGGAUAAGUAGUUCCAAGAACAACAUCAAAUUGUUUCCAGAGAUUGAUGCCAAGGCGUUUUUUCUCAAAUAAAAUCUCUUGGAUAGUUGCAUCCAACGAGGGCAAGGAAUUGCGGUGUAGUAAAGCAACCCGAUACUCAAAUUCUAGACGUAAACCCAUAAGGACCUUAAUAAGGCGAAGGUGAUGUUCACUGAUUUUAGCUUGAUCAAGUUGAGUCCAGAUAUGUUGAAGUACAACUAGAUAUUCGUUAACAAAUUGACCGACAUCUUGAUUGAGAUUGGCAAGACUAUUCCCUAGCUGAUAGUAGUGAGCUAAUCCGACAUAUUUAAAUCUUGUAGACAAAAAAAUCUCAUAGUUCUUUAGCAUCCUUAAAGACAUCAAAUUCUGUAUGAAUAGCAUAAAUCGAUGUAUUACUAAGCCAGGUGAUAGUCUGAUGGUUUUCUACUGUUCCAAUCUUCGAGGCGUUUCAUAAAUUUGUUGUCAUCUUCAUUUUCCUGUUCGAUUGGUUUAGUAAUAUCACCGGUGACAAUACGUCAUAAUUUUCGUCCAAUGAGAAAGCUUUUCAUUUGAUUUGCCCAAGUGAGAUAAUUGCUACCCUCAAUGAUUGUACUAAUAGGGCGAAUAACAUGGUCUUUUUCUAUUAAAGUGAACUUUUGAAGACAAGUUUACUAAGUAAUAUGAAUAAAAUACUCAAUCUAUGAGAGAUUCAGAUACAGACAGUGACAAACAAUGAAAACAAGAGAUAGUUCGACAACUGAUGCGAACGAAGAGGCAGAGCGUUAGAACGCAGGUGAGCAGUACGACAACCAGGUGACACUGAUCUGGAACGAAGAGGCACGACAUCAUGGAUUCGAACCACGUCAAAUCGGAGAUGAAUCUGUAAUGAAGAGGCAGGCAUCGUGGAUCUGAACUAAGCCGAAUUGGAGAUGAAUAGUACGAAGAACAAAGAAACAACGUUAACAUUGGUGCAGUCAAAGUCGAACGUAGGUGAAUCGGUUGUGAAGAACAUAGAAACAUCGACGACAAGAUCUACACAAAGAACAGAAAGAAACAAGGAGAGAUUGGAUUUCUUGGCAGGGAGGAUUCGCCAGCAAGUUUCUUGGCAAGGAGGAGCGACGUCAAUGGUGGUUACACAAUAUCUAGGUUAGAUGACUCUGAUACCAUGUGCUUUAAUUGUUUAUUGAUAAAAACAUUGUGUGUACUUUACAAAGAGAUAAUUUGAAGAUAUAGACAACCUAUACAACUAAAUAACGUAAGAAAUUAUAUUUUACCGAAAUUAUGUAAUUUACAUUAAUAAUAAUGAAAAACUUCAAAGAAAACCCAAAUCCACUACUCUUUACCUCUUAAAAGAGACUUAUCCCUCCAUGGAUUCAAAAAAAUGGAAGAAGAAAUUUGAGUUCGGGAUGAAUUCAGAAUGAAAUUUGAGAGGGUUUUGGAAGGAUAUUUUGAGAGAGGUUUUUUUUAGAGAUUUUAAGUUGGAGAAUUCAUAAAUGAAUGAAUGACAGUGAGAGGAGGCUUUUAUAGGGUUUUAGGAUGUUUCGAUAAAAAAAAAAAAAUGGCGGAAAACCAACAUAAAUGAUGAAGAAGACGAAGGGAAUGGGGUUUUUCAGGUCAGAUGGGAGUUUUCAUGAAAAAUAAAAAAGAAACGUCUGUAGGAUUCGAACUUGUGACCAAUAAGAGGCGAUGCUGAAACGUGACAUAGAAUGAGAGGUGGAAAGAAAUGAGCGUGAAUGAGGGCAAAGGAAAUCUUAUGUAAAUUGGUAUUUAAUUACGAAACUACCACUCAAAAAAUAAAAUCCUAAAGGAAAGAUUCGAACUCGAAACGUGGGAGGCGCGCGACUUGGCCAAAACGAUGUUGUUUUGGCAUUUGAAAAUCCGAAAAUAAGUCAAGUCGAGUGAAUUUGUAAACUGAGACAUGAAAUGACCCUCGCGGAUCAGAUGGCGACACGUGGCGGGCGGAGUUCGACUUAUUUUUCCAAAAUGCCAUUGAUCUUUAAAUUGUCCGUUUUCUAUUGUUCGGACUCCAUUUGGGGUGAUUUUCAUUGUGUUAGAUUUGUAAUGGAGUCUACUGUCACAUUAAGCAUGAAAAUAUCAAAAUAAUGAAUAUAUAUACAUUAUGCAUCAUGAAUAAUCUACUAAAUUAUAGUCAAGAAAUUCCCCAACAAACGACAUUAUCAAUUUUAAAUUAUUGGUUAAGAAGGUGUCCUUUAGGCGGGAAGAGUUUGAAAUUAUUACGGGAUUGAGGUAUAGGAUGAGACAUGUUGUUGAGUUUGAAUAAAAUAAAGCCCUUAGAUUGAGACGACUAUAUAUUUUGGUGUUAUGGCAAACAUAAAUGGGUCUAAGUUGGAUAAAGAUUACCUGAAGCUUCAGUUUGAGAGUGAUGAUGAUACGAUGGAGAUAUCCCUAUUUUAUUUCAUCGAGUUAACAAUGAUGGAAUAAAAAAAAAAGCAGCAUAUGGAUUGGACCAUGUUGGGCCUUACAAAUAAUUUGGAGGACUCCAUCAUCUACAACUGGGGUAACUUGAUAUAAGUUAAGAUACUCGACAGCUUAAAAGGUGCACUAUAUGAGAAAGUUGCCAUGCACAAGAAGACGCUUGUGAAUAAUAAGUUGUCGGAGUCAUAUAGCUUAUAGAGAUUCUCAUUCGCUUUUCAAGUUAUUAAUUAUAAAUGUGUUUUAGGGUUUGUUUUUAUACUUGUAAUUGUGUGUUCUCUCCUUUUAUUUAAUAUAAUUGUUAUAUUUGUAGGUUUGGGCAUAUGAGAUAGUAUCGUCCAUUAGUGAUCGGAUUUGUUGGUAGGAUUUUCAUUGAUGCAGUACCAUGCAUCAUGUGAUGAAGUUGCUCGUACUCACCAUUUUAAAAAAAUGGAAAUCUUCUUGAUUACUAAUAACAGAAGCAUAUAUAAAAAUGCUUCACAUUAUACAAACAUUUUAGAACCAAAUCGUACUCGGCUCAAUUUACAUCUCACUAAUUAUGUAAAUUUCACUUAAAAAAUCUUGAAAGUUUAUACUAAUAUCCACGUUCAGCCAUUUCAUUUGACUUCCAACAUCAUUUUCAUUCUCCUUCCAUUCACCACCAAAACCAACAGAUACACGAGACAUCCUACAAUACGUACAUAAAAUUAUUUUAAAAAAUCUCAAGGUGAAAUCAUUACAAAUUUAGCCGAUAUUUGAAAAAUAAAUAAAUAAAAGUGUCUUGAAAAAGUUGUAUUUGAAAUUUGGAUGAGAGUUGAUAUAAUUUUAGAAUUAUUAAUUAUUAAUAACUUCAUUAAAAAUAUAUGAAUGUCCAAAGGGUUAUAACCGGAGAUCUCAUCAGAUUUGAGAAAGCCACAUGAUUUGAUUUAUGCCUACCAACUAAACUAUGAUCAACUAUACCCAUACCCCUAGCUAAAAAACUAUAUAUAUAUAUAUGUAUUAAAAAUAAUCAAACCUUUUGACACUAACCUACAAAUCAAAAAACCUAUUGCCAAAUUCAUAUCACAAGAACUAAAAUGGUAAUUAAUUAGAUUAGAUGGACACAAUUAGCACAUCCCCUAACACAUGCAGCAGUCAAACCUACAACCCCACAAGAAUCCCCUCAUUUUUCUCAUGAAUUACAAAGCAAAAAGAAAAAAAAUCAAGGAUUUUGGAAACUCACCAUGAUCGUCCUUCAUCUUUACUAAUUUUAUAUAUGUAUUUUUUAAAUGUGCAACCCAUCCUUGUUUUGGUUGUAAAUCGUAAAUAAACCUUCUGGACUCAGUUUUCCACCUCUCAUUCCUUCCAUAGUGAACGUCGUGGGAAUUUAAACACAAACUACAUGUGAAGUACAAUUUUCUCAAACUUACUUAUCUCAUUCUGUAGAGUGGUGUCCCAUUUGUUAGGACUCCGGAGGGUAUCCGCAGUAAAAGUUAGGAAAACUUCUUGAUCUUUUGGGAGAAAUUUUCUAUGGACGUACAGAAUGGAUUGAAUUAGGGUUAAUAUGCUCCUUUUUGUACUGAUUGAAUCCCUCUAAUUUUGGAAACGAAGAAUAAGGAAAAUUCUAAGUAUUACAUACGUUGUACAUAUGGCAACUAUUGAUUGGUUAAUUGAAGAAACUUUUAAAGUUUUUUUUGGAAGAUUUUUGAACUAUGUGGGAUGACAUGAUAUGAAACUGUGCGAUUUUAAAAUUAGAAAUCCUAUUUGGUGAACCUUAAUAUCAAAUUGUAAAAUCCCGAUCAAUUUAAGAUAAUUCAAGAAAGGAUUAGAUUUGGAUUACUAGUUUUUUACUCCAAUUUUAAACACUCAACAAUUAAGUUUGAUUGCAUACAACCUUGAAUGAAGGAACUAAAACUCAAAUAAACAUAUAUGAGUCCAACAAUGAAACAACAACCCAAAAGUAAGAUAUAUUUUUGCAAAAAUAAAAAUGAAUUACAAAGUUCAAUUGGUUUCAUCUUGUAGCAUCAAUUGAAACCAAUUAUAUAGCUUCUAACCAAUUGUUGUUGCUUGAAUCUCCUAAUUGAGUUCACCUCCUCUUUAACGUGAAAAUUCAAUGUUAACGGUAGCUUCUUGGCUCUUGAAAUGUAUGAUUCAUCUUAAAAGUAAUGACAUCCUUGGAUUUCUGAGUUGGCACCCACCAUGAUGUCCAUUGACGUGGAUAAAUUGUUCAACUGAUAUUUUUCUCCAACAUUCUGUCUUAAAUGAGUGGGUAUAAAGUCAAGAACUCAGUGGUUGGAAUGAAGACAUUGAAUCUGUGAGUGCGUAAGAGACUUGGUAAGACAAUCGACUAGUUGAUUGGCCAUAGAAACGUACCAAACAUCAAGAGUUCUCCGAGCAAUUUGAUCUCGAACAAAGUGCAGGCCUAUCUUAAUGUGCAUGAAAAACAGAAUUAAUAACAAGAGCUCCUACGCUUUUAUUGUCUCACCGUAGGAUUGGUUUAGAUGAAGAACGUCGGUCAAAUUCAUAUAGAAGCUAGUAAUUAAUCCAAGUUAUCUUAGAGGCAGCAUGAGUUAAGGCCCGAUAUUAGGAUUAAGUGCUUGAGCGUGCCACAAAUACUAAAACUAUGUUAUCUUAAAUAGUUAAGAAAAUAAUUAAAUCAGAAUAUUGAUAACUAAUGAUAAUAAUUUAUCUUAACUUACGUCAGGGUUCUACAGUUUCGUGAUAACAAUAUCCUAGGUUUAAAAAUUGAAAUUUUGUGAAGCGCAUGAAUAUCAAAUGUCUAUAUGGAAGUAUGAUGAAAAAACCCGUGAAGCAAGUAGGACAACCUAAAGGGCAAAUUUUUAUUAUUUAACAACUCCAUCUUCAUAAGUUAUAAGAGAUGAUUUUUGAUUGGUUCAUCCAUUGAAAAAUAAUGAAAGAAGUUUCAUUAAAUUUUAAUAACAUCUUCUUUUCCCUUCAAUUGUUACAAAUGGUUAAAUAGAGAGACUAAAUUGUUAGUGGUUGAAGUUAAAUAAAAAGAACUGAAUUGCUUCAAAAUUGAAAAUAGAGAAAUUAAUUAAUUGAGUAGCAUAGGUGUUUUUAAGCUGUUUUAAACAAAUAUCUUACGUAUGUGUUUUAUGAUGUGAAGGGUGUGCUUUAGGAUUAAAUAGUGGUUUUCGUUGAUUAAAAUGAUUUUGAAUAUGAAAAGUAAUUAAUUGAGAGAGUGGAGUAUGACAAUGUUGAUAUAUAUGAGGGAAUGUUUUGUUUUUUUCCUAGAAAAUGCUAAGGAAGGUUGAUUGUGGAUUGAAAACAUAGAGUAUUGUGGAGAAUAGACAUUGCACAAAUGUUUUGAAAAUGUCAUAAUGCCUUAAUAAUAAUGCUCUAGUGAUUUCCAUGUAGACUACCCAUAACUUUGAGAGUUGGUGAUGUAAUGAAAUAAAUUAUAAUAAUCCUUUACCUUUGCAAUUAUUUGUGAUCUUUUGUUAUUUAAUGGAGCCAUGUGGUUGUCACACUUCCAUUUUGGGCAUGUGGAUAAUGUAUAUGAUAGGGAGGAUACAAAAGAUCUUGUUGAAUUCCACCAUAUAUUUUUAUUUUUCCUACUCCAUUUUAUUCUUAAAGUAAUAUAAGACCCAAAAUAUGUAAGAAAUUACGUUUUAUGGGUGGAAAAAGAAAAUUAAAAAUAUACAUUCAUACUAUAUGCAUUCCACUCAACUAGUUAAGACUAGUUAGGUUAUAUGUCUUUGAUCAAGAUAUUAGAUAUUAGAUGUUCAAUACAUAUUAUGGAAUUAAAGGAAAAAAAGAGAUGGAGAGAAUAAUAUUACCAAAACAUAAUUUUAAAGAGGCCAAAAACGAUGGAUCGAUCGUACACGAUUAACUUGCUUUUAUACCAAUGUCUUCUUGAAACGUGGAGAAGUAUGUUGAUUGAGAUGUAUUAAAUAUAUUUACUUUUUAGUAGAGACGUGUUAUAUUUUAUUUUGAUUUUGUGAAGUCAAAAAUUAUAUGCUAUGAUACAUUCCUUUCAUAAUUCAUUCUCAUUUUAAAGUGGCCAAAAAGUUGUUAUUUCUAUAUUGACUAACAAGUUCUUGAACAAAACAUAUAUUCGAGAGAAUCUUUUUGUUACAAACAACCAAGUUUUCAAUUAUAAUAUCGAUCAAAAUAAACAUAGUCUAAUGAUAAUUGAUAUGCACUCUUCUUUCAAAGUCUGUGAUUCAAAUUUUCAUACUCUCUAAACAUUAAACCCUAGAUAAUGUAAUUCCAUAUCAAACUAACUAAACUCUUGACAGAUAAAAAAAUGACCGACAAUUUUCACUACUUUAUUGUAUGUAUAUCUUUGGCAUAGCUUUGUGCGAUGUGGCGUAUACAAAGUCAGCCCUAUCCAUAGUAUUAUACCAGGAUAAGGUACCCAGCCUUAUCCCUAAUACUAUAGACCCUUUAAGAUGAUCUCGAACAUUGAUCUCUGUAUGUCUCUACAUACUGUUCAAGACACAUUAAACAACUUAGGAUGUUAGUUUAUUGGAUUUGAGUUAUUAAGACAAAACUAAUAAUAUAAUCAAUAACAAUUAUUACAAUAAUAACAUUUUAUUAAUAACAGUCCAUGAAUUAUAUUUACAAUCUACAAGUAUAUUACAUAAAAUGUAUAUUAUAAAAAUAUAAUAAACUAGGGCAUUCUUACACCCAUUACACAUCUCCCACUUUAGGUGUGAGAGUUUUUGUAAAUGAAUCAGCAAUAUGCUCUAAUAUUAUCUCAAUAUAAAGUGAUGGGAAUGUUCAUGUUUGGAACAACUUCUAAAUCAUGCAGGAACUUUCUAAGUAAAAAUUGCUUCUUUUGUUGCUUCACAAGCAACGACAUACUCAACCUCCAUUAAAGUCUACAAUGCAUCAUUGAUUUGAUGCUAUGUCAUACCACAACUCUCCUAUUCAGGGUGAGUACUGAUCCCGAUGUGAAUUUCCUAGAAUCCUUAUUGGUUUGAAAAUAAGAGUUAGUGUAUCCUGUAAGGAUCAAAUCCUUAGCUCCAUACAUAAGUAUGCAGUCUCUCGUUCUCCUUAGAUACUUGAGAAUAAUUUUAACUGUCGUCCAAUGGGCUAACCCUUGGUUGGACUGAUACCUAUUGACUAUUCCCAUUACAUAAAAAAUGUAUGGCCUAGUGUAGAGCAUAACAUACAAUAAGUUGCCCACAACUGAGGCUUAGGAAAUACGUCUCAUAUCCUCAACUUCUCGAGGUGUCUUAGGACAAGUGGACCUCGUGCCUAAAAGGUAAUAAAUCCUUCUUAGAGUUCUACAUCGAAUAUCGAACCAACAUUUUAUCGAUAUAGGUUGCCUGAGACAAUGCUAGCGUUUUGUUCUUACGAUCCCUUAUGAUUUGGAACCCUAGAACAUAUUGUGCCUCUCCCAAAAUCUUUCAUUUGAAAUUGGGCUGCUAGCCAAGUUUUAACGUCAGUUAGGUAUCCUACAUCAUUUCCAAUGAGAAGGAUGUCGUCCACAUAUAGUACUAAGAAAACUACUUUACCUUUGUUGAUUUUUUUGUAUACACAAGAUUCAUCAACAUUUUGGUCAAAACUGUAAGAUUUGAUCGCACUAUCAAAUCUAAUGUUCCAAGAUCUAGAUGCUUGUUUCAACCCAUAAAUGGAUCGUUUCAACUUGCAAACUUUUUGCUCCUGACCUAGGAUAGAAUGCAAAAUUUUGCUAUAGCUUGUAAAUAUUUUAAUUUAUUUUGUUAUUUUUAAAAAUGCUCCUUAAAACUAUAAGAUACAUGAGAGGUAUUCAUUAAAUAUGAUUUAAAUAAAUUAUUAAUUUAAUAUGAUUUAAUUAAUUAUAAAUUUAAUUGAUUAAUUAGUUAAUUUUUUUUUUUAAAGUUAAUAGAAUCUCAUGAUUCUCUCCAACUUCCUAAAGAAGAGGGUGUUAUAAACACGCAAAAGAAAACAAGUUUUUCAACCUGAGUCUUUGCCUCUUUGCGAAUUCUCUGAGAGAUUCUCUCAAAAGUUUUUUUUUUCAUUCCAAUUGGUUCUCACAAACCAAUCUCAUCCAAGAGAAUAGGGAGGUCUCCGAGUGGUGGUGCCCCAAAUUUGGUGUUUUAGUAGAUUCAGAGGUGUUAAACUACGUGUGUUUUUCUUUCUCUAAUCUAUAAUUUUAAAGCAUGCUUAGCCUCAAUUAGAAAAUUGUUUCUCUAACUAUUACCAAUGUACAAUAUUUUUAAGUUUCCAAUUGAAUUGAUCUAAGAUAUCUAUAAAAUUUGUCGCAGCAAAAGGUUUUCAUCCCCUCAGUAAGAAAACAUGGGCCAAAGAAGCUCACAAAAAAGGACACAAACCUAUAAGAAUGAGCUUUAGUAAGACCAAACGAAUAGUUACAAAAUAAAGUUUUAUAACAAUGGAAACAUGGAUGUAGCUACAUAUGGCUACCGUCACACAUAAUUUUUUAUGUUCUUGUAUUGUUACUACAUAUAAAAGAAAGAAGAUACAACAUCUAGAACGAUAGAGGAACUUCAAGGUGGUAGUUCCAAACUUCAAAACAAUGAGACUUUGAAGAAAAACAUUGUGUAAUCCAAUUUGAAGGCCAAAACGGUGUAUUUUGGGACAAAGGGUUGGACAAGCUACCUUUAGACAACGUCUCAAAAUGUUAUAUGUAAUAAAAAAAAAUCUUGCAAUUCAGACAACUAUAUUCUCAGAGUUAUGGUCUUCUAAAGUUUCAACAUAGUUUUAUGUAACUUUGAAGGAAAUUCGAUGUCAAGAUAUGUUAAUAGAAUGCUUAAUCUAUGAAAAUAGAUGUAAAGAUCGUGAAAAAAUGCAUCAAAUCAAGUGUUCGUAUGCGUAAAACGAGUUAGUAUUGAUUGAGAUAUAAGUUGUGUCAAGAGAAUUCAACUUUCUUAAGGAAGAAAGGAUACAAAUGACCUAAACAAAAAAAAAAAAAUGAAAUAACAUCAAUAAGCAAAAAAAAUACCUAUUCUUAUAUAAAGCCGUAAUGUUCAUCUAUCAACAACUAUAAAAUUUUAGAAACAAGCACCGAACGAGUUGCUACACAAAUGAACAGAUAUCCAUCUAACUAACAGUAACUAGAAGUUUAAUUAGAAAAACUGAGUGCAAACUAGCUAAUUAAGAUUCUAUAAAAAUCAAACAUAAUCUAUUACUCUAAAUCACCAGAUUCACAUACAUUCUAAAAAUAAUAACAAAUCUUACAAAAGACAUCGAUCGCGCACUUGAUUAGAUUCAAAAUACCAUUAUACAUCUCGCAAAGAACAAGUGAAACGAGUAAAAUACUACUCAUUGAAAAAAAAUUGAAAAAUCUAAGAAUUUAACAAACUUAAAAAUCCUCUCAGCUUUAAAGUAAAACCUCUUUAAAAUCCUAAAAUCCUCUUUAAAUUCACUCGUAGGAAAUAACAUUCACGAUUUUAGGGAACAAAGAGAUUUUUAGGGCAAAAUACAAUCUAUCUUAUUACAUACCGAAAGAGAAAAGACAGAGGACGACGACGACGACACCGAAAGAGAGAAAGGGCAGAGGACCGCACAGUGGCGGCACCUAAAGAGAAAAGGCAUAGAAUUGCAUGGCAGCACCGAAAGAGAAAGGGUAGUGGACGACGACACUAUUUUCGUUUUUUGCAAAACCCUCUUUCUUCUCUCCAUUAUAGACUUGUGAAUUACAAAUGUGGGUGACUUUAGUAGCGUCGAAAGUUCUUCCAUUUCUCUCGACGCGAGUUUGACUGUGUCAGAAGAUAGAGUAUGUUUUGUCACUUCACUUAUUUCAUCAAAAGAUUUCAUAUCUCCCGACGCCCGUUUUUCUAACGAUAUAAGCCAACGUCGAAAGAUCCAAAAUUUCUUGUAGUGACUUUUAGUAUUUUUUUAUUGUGAGCUUGUGAGUUUUUCACGUUUUCAAAAUUGUUCUAUAGAGUAUAAAUAUUUUGUCGGUUUGUUAUAUUUUUGAAAAAAAAAAAAAUCACCACUUAAGAAAUUAAAUAUAAAAAACAGUUAGAAAAAAUGUAUAAUAUCUUACAAUGCUAAACAACCACGUUGUGUCGUAGUGUAUAGUUGGCUACGAAGGUUUUCAUUUUGAGUCUGAGCAAUGCCAUUUUCAUUUUAAAGCAACCACUUAACUUUGAUGAUAUUUUUCAUACUAUGAAUGAGUUACAAAUUUGAAAAUAGAGGAGACUGAAUUUUAACACAAUUUUUAAUUUACUCAUUAAUUUAACAACUAAAUUAUUAUAACUUUGAAAAUGAAACAAAGUAGAUAAAAAAUGUUAUUUAACAAAAAGAAUCAAAUAAAACCAAUUGAAGUUGGUUACAUAUCAAACAUAUAAAGAUUAAAAAGAGAAUGAACUCAUCAACUAUAUUUACUCAAAAUCUUAUAAAUUAUUAUAUAAAAUAACAAAACAGUCUGAGAUUUACAGACUACAUGGUUAAUUGAAUUCACAUAAUUAUAAUCAACAUCUACAAUCCUAAUAUUUGUCCAAGAGAAAAAAAAAAAGAAAAAGAAGAAGUAAAGGAGCAAAAGAAAAAAAGGAAAAGAUAAAGGAUUAGAUUAGAUGAAAGAAAAGUUAAACAAAAAAAAAAAAACUUCCUUUCCCUCCCACUCUCCAAAGGCCAUUUCCAACUUUUUUUUUUAAAUAUUAUUUCUCUCUUUUUUUUUUCCUUUCUUUUCAAAAGAUUUGUAAUUUUUAAUGAAAAAAUUUAAUAAAAAACUUUUGGUGGUGCUUCAUUCAUAGCUAUAACAACAACAAUGGGUAGUGGAGAAGGACAACGCAAUGUUGCAACAUUAUUAUGAUUAUUGUCGUCGACAUUUGAUCUUGUGUCGUUCCUUUGCAUUUCGAUGUCGUUUAACGAUGUCGAUGUCGUCGUUUCUUCUUCUUCUUCAACUACUGUUGCUAAUUUCUUCUUCUUAUUUUUCUCCAAUUUGUCUUCACUUAUUAAAAGCUUCACUGGUUCAACUAUGGUGGUGAUCUCUUCUAUUAUUGCUUCCUUUUCUUUGUAAUCUUUGUAUUUUCCCCAUAGCACUGAGUACAGCCCCACCACCAUUACAAUACCUCCAACAACACUGAAAAAAUAAAAAAGAACAUAAAGUUAAAAGAGUAUAAAGAUUCAAUUUAAGGUAUGUUAAGAGUAUAAAUUUUUAGGUUUGAUAUUUUUAAUUACAUUCAACGUAACAUGGCAUGAAAGUAAAACUUUCAGUGUAUGAAUGAAUCGGGUAAUUAAGAGUUUGGUAAUAAAUUCACUUUAUUUUUCUAAAAUGAAAAAAAAAAAAAACUAAAUUAUUAUUAUUACUAUUUGUUUCAGGACAAUAAAUAAUUUAUAGUAUUAGCUAUUAAUAUUAUUAACCCUAAUCAUUGCUCAUAAUUGAAUAAUUUAAUCCAUUAUUAUUAGACCGUACCUGAGAUAUUUCUUAAAUUCAAAACUAUGGAUGAUGGAGCGAAAAGAUCAUAUUUCAUGAAAAAUGAGAAUUACAUAUUAAAAUGAUUAUAAAGAUUAAAAAGGAAAAAACCUACUCUUCACUUAUCUUUUAAAUCUUUGGUUUAAUUUAGAUCCUAUUUGUACUUUUAUCUCUACUUUAUUUUUGUCCUUUGAACUUUUAAAACAUUCACUUUAGUCUAUUUUUAAUUAUUUUACUCUAAAAUAUUAAAAAUAUCCAUUUUAGUCUUGAAACAUUUAGAAAAAGUUAGUUUCAAUUCAUACUUUUUUUUUUUAAUUAUUUUCCUACAACUGUGUAAAAAAAGAAAGAAAAUACAAAAUUCAACAACUAUUUUUUUUUUUUUUUUGUGAAUUUUCCAUAACUUUAUAAACUUAAAUAAUUGAUUAACAAUUUAAGCGUUUAGGUUAAGUGAUGGUACUAACCGUCCGAUAUAGAUCUUCUCUGCAAGCAUGAAGGAGCCCAUAAUGGCAACAAUGAUCAUGAUCAUAGGGGUAAAGGCUGUGACAAAAACAGGUCCUCUCUUUUGCAUAAUCAUCCCUUGUACAUAAUAAGCUAUGCUUGAUGAAACUAUUCCCUGAACAAAGUUUAUAAUUCAAAUUAAAUUAAAUUAUUAUUUUCAAUACAUAUAUAAACAUAAAGAGAUGGAGAAUCUUACAGCAUAAACAGAAGCAAGAAGGUUCAUAUCCCAUCCAAUGUUCCAAACAGAAGCUUUGUGUUCCAUUACAAAUGUGACAGCCAUGGAUUGCAAAGUCCCAAAGAAACACACAAGGGUUGUAAGUGACAGAUGGGCUGUGUAAUUCCUUAAUGUCAUUGCCUGUGAAAUAGUAAAACCAUAUACAUGUAAUAUGAACUAUAUCAAUUCGAUCCGAUUGACUACUGUUAUAUUGCAAAGGUAAAAUUAUAAGUUGUAUAAGUCUUUACAAAUGUUUGAUUUUGCGUCUAAUAGAAUAUGUUGUAAGCUUUCAAUCUUGUAUUUAAUGGAUGACGUAUUAAAUAUUUUUUUUCAAAAAACUUAAGUGACCUAGGUAUAUAAUUGAAUAAUUUUUGUUUAAGAGAACCUUUUUCUUUUGUCUAUUAGGUCUAUGCAUUAAAAAGAAAAUAUUGCAUAAAAGACAAAUGACAUAUAUUUUAUUCACUCUCAAUUCUCUCUUCAAUUAGAUAUUCAAUUAGAUAUAAAAUGGAAAGUUUGGUUCCAUUAUUAAACAUAAAAUUGGAAGUUUAGGGAUUAAUUGAAAGUUGGGAAUCCCAUUAGACAUUUUUUUAAAAUUUCAAAACCAACUUAAAAAUUUAAUAACUAAACCACCUACAAAUCAUUUUGAUUUUAAGUUGCUAUAAUUAUUUGAAAAAACAUAUAUCUUGAUGUGACAUCAUAUAUAUUUAUGUUUAACCAAAUUCCUAUACUUCUGCGUUAUCAACACCGAGAUGAGAGGUACGAUUUCUUCACUCUACAUUAUUAAAAUACUAUUUUUAUCUCAAGCUUCAUUCUACAUUAUUAAAAGAAUACUAUUUUUAUCUCAAGAGUAAAAUACUUAAAAGUAGAACAAACAUGUUGAAGGCAGUUAAACCUAGUGUAAAAAUAUUAGUACCUGAACGAUGAAGAACAAAGCCCAAGCAAGAUUGGCAAAAAGGAGAAGAAUGGAACCCUUGAGCCAAUCUUGAUAAGUGCUUUCAAAGGAAUAGUAAUUGGAAGAAGCAGAAGAGCUGUGAAGAUAAUUAUUGUUAUGGUGAGACCAAAAGAAGCUUAUGACAUUCCCUUUGUAUAAAGUCAUCAAAAUGGCUCCACCCACUGUCACCAAUGUUCCCACCACCUUGGCUUGGCAUCUCACUUUCUUCAUCUCCAAUUUCUCCAUCCUUUCAAGUUUCCAUUUGUUUUUCAUUUAAACAAACAAAUUUAAAUAAAUAAAUUUCAAAAUAAUAAUCAUAUACUUUUAUGUUCUCUCUCUUUUUGAAGUCUUUUAUUAUUAGCAACCAGAAAGUUUUGCUUUUUUAUCUUCUGCUUUUUAAAAGGGUUUGAUAUGGUAGAUGCAUGUACAUACUUUAUUAAGAGUCGAAUUCAUAAGAGUUGAUUUAUAACGUAAAUAUACGUAUGCAAGAGCAAGUUUGAUUUCGUAUACGGAACUUCAAAGUAGAGUUCAAAAAUAAAUAGUAGAAUUUAGAGAUCGCUAAAAGUAGAUUAAAAGUGCAAAUAUAUAUAUACACGGAUGCAAAAAAUUCGAUUUCGUUAACAAAAAUUUAAAGUAGAGUUCAAAAGCAAUUUGAAAAUGAUUAUCAAGAAAUAUUCGGAAGUGGUUAUAAAAAUGGAUUAAAAGUGAAAAUAUAGAUAGGAAACCUUAAAGUUUAAAAGUAAAUUGAUAAUAAAUUUUCGACUAUGUUGGAAGUGAUUUAUAAAAGUUGAAUAAAAGUGAAAAAUAUACAUAUACAAGAAGUUCAAUUUUGCAUACAAGGCUUUAAGGUGAAACUUAAAGGACAAAUUUACAACGCAGAGCAUGUCUGAAAAGUAAAUUUGAAAGAGUUAUAAAAUAGCUCUGCCUAGGAUGAAAACUACUUAUAAACAUGCAUUUAAUUGUUUUCAUUAAAUCAAUUUAAUAUUUAAUUUGACAUUUUAAAACAUGAUUUUCAUAAAAUCGAAAUUAAAUUUAAAAGAAAAAUCUAAUCUUUUACGAGUUUUUAUCUCAAUGCAAAGCGGUAAUAUUGUAUACCUACAAAGAAGAGCUAAGAUGAAUGUCAUUGCAGGAAGCAUAUUGCUGGUGGCACAUGAAAAGGUAGUUGAAGUGAGCUUCAAUCCAGCAUAAUAAAAAUUCUGAUCAAUCACCGGUCUGAAGAAGAAAAAUAACAAUUAUUUUGUAACUAAAAAAAAUGGUUAAAAACCACUUUUUAAUUUUUUUUUUAUACAAAAAGAUCUAAAAUUUGCACAAACCCUAACAAACCCAGAAGGAAAAUCUGCAUUAACAUGGCAAAACUGAUCUUGGGUCUCACUUUCCUGAUAAGAAAGUUGAUAUUAGUAUAAAUAAAGUAGUUAAAAAAGAACUAAAAUCGUUUAUUUCAAACUCACUAAGAAAUUUAGAGAAAAAGUCAUAGAAAGAACAACCUUUCGAAGAAGAAGGCGAAGGGAGCAAGGACAAUGGUGGCAAAGGCUUGCCGAUAAGUGACAAGAACGUAAUGGCUCAUUCCGCGGUUGAGAGCUACCUUGGUGAUGAUAUUCAUCCCAGCAUAGCCAAAUUGGAGAGAGAUCAUAGCAAUGUAAGGUUGUGCUCCCUCAACAAAAUUGGCAAUUCCACUUCCCUUUCCUUCCAUUUUGUUUUAUUUAUUUUUAUUUUGGAAGAGGCCGUUUGGGAAAGAGAGAAAAAGAAAAAGAAAAAAAGGAAGGAAGAAUUGUGUAUGGAGGAGGAAGAAGAACACUUCAAGAAGCUUAAGGCUAAUUUGUUGUGUCUCUCCUAAAUUAAAAAAUGGGAACUUGGUUUCAUAUUUAUAGCCUAUUUUUGUGAUGAUCAUAUAAUUGGGGUUUUUGGCUAUGUUUUCUUUUUGUAAUUUGAAAAUGAUGAUGAUAUGAUCUGCUAUGUGGUUAUCCAUUCAACGUUUGAUGUGGGUUCCACGUGGCAGUAUCAUGGUGGUGCUUUAUUUAUUUAUUAUUAUUAUCUUGGGAUGAUUCCUACUUUUUAUUUUCUCUUUCUCUCCUUUCCCAAUAUCAAUCAUAUAUAAUUGUGUAAAAGCUUUCAUGAUAUUGUUUUAGUGCUUCGUGCUGCCAAAUGGAACCAUGAUCAAAAUUAUUUCUAUUUUCUAAAAUUGUAAUCUUCGUAUAUUUUUUUUCAAAAUUCAUGAAUAGAAACUCUUUUUUUCCCUUUCUGUAUGCUAAUUGGAAUUCUAAGUUAAACCACCAUCUUUAUUAUAUCUUGUACCGCUUCAAUUUAAAAAGGUAGAUAAAUGAAUCAGAUUCGAAUGAGAUCCGAAUGAGAGAUCAUAAGAAAAUAGUAUAAAAGAAAGAGCUUAAAAAAUCUUAGAACGCUCGAAAUCUGUUUAUCUAGUCUUAGAUAGCAAAAAAAAAUAAUUGUUGAUUAAUUUGAUUCAUAAAAUUAGACAUAUUGGUCUAUACUUAGAGAAAACCAAAACAUAUUGAUUUAAAUCCGUUCUUCAUUGAAAAUCGAAUUGAACGUAAGAAAAUAUAUACACAUGUAACCUUAAAAACAAACUCUAACAUUAGUGGUAUCAUUUAAUCUUUUAAUUUUAUGAUGCAUAUAUAUUUGAGUGUUAAUUUAGAAAAAGAUCCAUUAUUAAUGUUUGCGUCUAUCUUUCAUUAAGAAAAUCGCCAAAAGACAAGAAAAAAAAAAUUAUCCAAUUUCAAUCUAAAAAUCUAAUUCAGAAUGAAAGUAAAAAUAAAAACAAAAACUUGGAAGGAAGAUAGAAAAUGCCAAAAAUCGAGAACAAAAAAUGGAUAAUAAAUCGAGCCAAAUAAAAACAAAUCCAUUAGUUUUGUUAUUUAAUUAUUGAAUAUCAAUUAAUUUUGUUUCAUUCUUUAUAAACUGAUUGGUUUGGUGUCAAUUUGAACUGACUAUGCAAAUCACCCUGACUUGAUACUUUGAACAAAUAAGUACAGUGUCUUCCUAACUACUUAGCGUGUAAGGGUCUAAGGACAUUUACUUAGCGUGUAAGGGUCUAAGGACAUUGCACCCUAGUCGGGUUCAUGAGUAACCUCUUGAAAAUCUAAGUUAAAUUUUUAAUUGACAUGUUUAUUGUUUAAGGUUUAUAUCCUAGGACAUAGGAGAAGUGCACUAUAUAAACCCUUUAAGCCUGCUCAAAUAUUUAUACUCCCUUUAUCUGUGGCAGACCCCUAGUCACACUACAAGAAAUCGAAAGUUUUCCGACGCAAGAAAUAUCGUCAAAAAACAUGACGUCGGUAGAAGCUGGUGUUUUUCGACGCAUCUUUGUGCACGUCGGGGGAAGGUAUUUCUCCCGACGUAGGCACACGAGCGUCAAAACUGGCCAGAAUGGUUUAGGGUUCCUCUGACAUGGUGCCAGGUACGUCGGACAAUGGGUCCCUAUUCCUGACAUGCACCGUGUCACGCUGGAAGAGGGUAGACAAUUAAUUGUACCGUUUAGCCUUCCUCUAACAUGGUGACAGGUGCGUCGAGAAAUGGGUACUUAUUCUCGACAUCUAUAGUGUUGCGUCGGAGAAAUGACAGAUCAUUAAUUGUACGUUACACUUGUGAUGUCAACAACAUCGGGAAUUCGUUGAGAAUAGGUUUAGGGAUUCUCGACGUGUCACUAAUCACGUCAAGAAUAGGGUGUGUCUCCCGAUGUUUUCGAUAUACAUCUGUAAUUCACUGAAAUGAAAAAGAGAAGGUCGAGAAAAGUUGAGAGAGAGGCCGAAAAGGAGAGAGAUCCACGCCACUGUUCGUAGUCGUUCUCGUCGUCGUCCUUAUCUGAUCGUUUGUCGUUAUCUCCGUUGCCACUCUUCAUUCUAGUAAAUGGUUUAAUUUAGUUAUUAUUUUGUUUUAGUUAAUUAGGUUUAGUAUUUAGAUUUUUAAAAUGGAAGGGUUGAGACAAAAGAAUGGUAAAUAAUGAGUAGGGUAGGUUUUAACAAAAGGGUAUCUAUGUUUUCGAUUGUCCUAUACAAGUUGAAAUGGGUGUAAGGCACUUUGAUUUUGAGUGUAUGGCUACAUUACAAAAUAAGAUAUUCAUAUUUAAUAAAGAGAAUCUUUUCUAAUCACAUCGAAUCCUUCCUACUUACUGCUGUCUUAGAAAUUUUGGUUUUUAUAAAAAGGGAAAAAAAACUUGGAAUAUUAAAUUAAUAAAUAAGAAAAAGAAUUAAGAAGUCAAAAUUUAAAGUUGUGGGUCAAAUGAAAAAUAGUAAUAUUAAUAUAUAUAUACAUCAAAUUUCUAAACAUGUUUUUUGUUUUUUUGUUUAAUUAUUCAUUGCGAUAAAGUCAUUCAAAAGUUUGAGUUGGCAAAGUUUUUGGAAAUUGAAUCUAAGAUCUUCAAGCUAAUCAUGCUUAACAACUCAUUCUUCAAAAAGUAUUGGUAAUCAUAUUGAUGACAAGUUUUGUAUGAAUUCUCUCUAUACUCCAAGUCUCACCUUAUUCUUAUCAUUUAGGUAAGAGGAAAAAUACCAUCCAUCCUAGAAAUAUUGACGUUGAUAGGAUAUAUUUGAUUUAACACUAUUGAGUAUAUUGAUGUUAAAAAAUUUGGAUUGAGAAAAUGCAUCAACAAUAAACAAUCAACAAUAAAUUUGUUUGAGGACAAAAGUGUUGUGGUGAUGCAAUUUGGGUCCUAAAAAUUUCAUAAUUAAUGUUAUUUAAUAAUAUAUAAUUUAAUUAUUGGGACAAUUACCCUAAACUAAUACGAGGGAAGAAUACGACCGUUCGAUCUCUCUAUUUUAAAAAUGUAUUUUUUUUAGUUUUCAAAUAUAUAAGUAUAGACUUCAUUCCAUUUUUUAGUUUUCAAAACACAUAUGUUUGGUAUCUAAAUCUUUAAAAUAUGUUUAAAAAAAGUCUAUCAAAUAAUUUUAUAUUUUUAUUUUAAAUAAUUAUAUGAUAUUUUAAAGAAAAAAUAUUGUAAAUAACAAAAUUAUUGAAAAUAUUUAUAAAAUAUUACAAAAUUUUAGAUCUUUCAACCAUAGACGUUGAUAAACACGAAUAGAAUGUCUAUCAUUGUUGAUAGAUUUAAAAUUUUAUUAUAUUUUGUUUUAUUUAAAAAUUAUCCCAUGAAUAAUUUCUAAAAAUCAUAUUUCUUCUAAAACUAUUUGUUUUCUAGUUUUAAAUAUUAUAAGUUUCUACAUGGAUUGAUUACGUUUAAAAAACAGUUUUAAAGAGACUAGUAUAUUGAUAAAUAAAAUCUCGUUGUCUUAUCUUUUGUGACACACUAUGAGAUAACCGACCACUUUGCAAUUGUUACAAAUAAUUAAUUUAAUGCAAAUCAUUCUUGUAGAGACAUGAAAGUGGAGGUAACAUUAUUGAAUUUCUAUAGGUUUGCUUUGUGAAAUACUUAAUUUAAUCUCUAGAGGAUAGUAUUUCGUAAAGUGACUAUAUUUUUAUGAAGACUCAUUAUUUGAUUUGUAGGGACUAGAAUGAUCGUUAGUUGAUUUAAUAAAACAAUCAUUUUAAGGGCUUGACAGCGAGGGAAAACAUAAUUUUACGAAAUGAAGAAAUGGUUAGUUUUACUUAUAAAUAUUGAUUUUAAAACUUAAACUAUAGGCUUUCACUGGAGUGAAUGUCCGUUCAUGAGGUUGAAAAACUGAGGUGAAAUACAAAUUUGUGGACCUAGCAACUAGAAAGCACGUAGAAAUUAACUUUUAAUUGCCUUUAUUUUAGAUAGGAUUUUAAUUAAUUUGAUUAGAUUAGAUGUGUUUUGUUUAGUGAUUUUUAGGGUUUGAGAAACAAAACGGGUCAAAGUCGUCAAAGAAUUGUGUAUAAUUGAAACAAACCAGUACCAAACAUUGAAAGGAGAGAAGAAAAGAGAAUAAAAAAAAGGAAACAUGCCUAAAAAUAGGGCAACACUGCCCUAAUGCUAAAACACAAAAGCACUUGAUUUGAAAUUGUUGCAUCCCAUUGGCAGCCUAGUUGUUGAGGCAUUAGCAUUGUCACACCAUAGCAGGGAGGGGCAUAAGACGCAUUGCAUGAAGGUGGUGCCACGACAAUCGCUAGGCAAUAUGUUAGGAAAUCAUCAUCCACAAUCAUAUAUCAACAAUAAUCAAUAGAGUUAAUCAUAGUGCUUGAUAAUUAAUAAUUUGUCUUAAACGCCUUGGGAUUGUUCCUUUUUAGGAAUCCAAUUCCACUAUUUGAAAUUUGGAUUUGUAAUAAAUGAGGAAAAAAUACGUUUAUGAUCUUUUCCACCAACUUCAACUUGAAGACCUACCAAGAGCUUCUCUCUAGCUAUGUGCUCCACAAGCAUUUAUCUCCAAAUGAUGUUGUUCCUUGUGAUACAUAUGGAAUGUAUAUAUCAUUGGUGCAUUCCAGUACUCGACACACAAACUUGAUAUAACUCUCAUCCAAUUUCUAUAUUCACGACCUUAUGUCUAUAGAUUCACUAUCAAAGAAAAUUCUCAAACUUCGAACAUUGAUGAAAUAAAAUUUGAUGCACAUUUCGUGCUUUGUGAAAAAUAUAUAUACUUUUUUUUGUCAUCAAAUAAACAAAUGGCUAUGGCUCAAACAAGUAUUGAGUCUGAAUAACGAGUCCUUACACCUGGGUAUGCUGAAAUUACAUGGUACAACAACAAUUAUGCCAUGCACUAGUUGUACGGUGCAAUAAUUAAACACUUGAAUAUGUGCAUGCAUUCAAUAGAUAAAUCCUAUUGAAAUUGGUACUGUGCAUUCUAUUAAAUUGAAAUUGACUAACAAUUUUUAAAAGCUAUCAUUAACAAGCUCUUAAUGAUUUUUGACAUUGACACUAGGGUAGAGAAUAAUGGAUCUGUCUUUGUAUCUUGUUGUUGAGAUCACAAACGACCUUCAUAACUCCUCUACCCCUCAAAUUCCCUUAGGUGUGGUGUUCUCCUUUUGCACUAAUAUUCCCCCGAUCUUUGAUCCCCUUUCAUAUGAAAUGCACAUGUAACUUCAAAGAGCUAGAAAGUGAAAUGCAUCAACCAUGCACGUUAGGUUUGUAGUAUCGAGAACAAUAUUGUCUUAUCUUUUCCUUAUACAGGUUCGUAGCGUUGCGAUGCUAAGAAAAUUAAACAGCGAUCAGUGUCAUCACUUGACCUGCUCUUAGGUUUUAGCAUCGUGAAUCACAUUCGGCACCACCUUCUCUUGGUUCCUGGCCUCUCUUUUCUUCUUAAUUAAUUGCAUCAAUAACCCAAGAAGUUCUCAUAGCUUAAUUUUGACACCAAAUUUGUCCAAAUUGUGCAAAAACUUCACUCCAAACCAGUUUUUUUUUAAAAAAAAUAUAAGUACAUUUUCAGGUGCUUUUCAAUCAUCUCAAUGAUAGAGCAUAUUAGUUGUUAACCGUGUCUUUCAUCCUCAAAUCAAACACAUCAAGAUCAUAUAUUCCUUUUUCUUUUUCAUGAUUAGAUUUCUCAUGUGUUUUGUUUCAUGUUGGAUAUGGGCCCACAACUGAUCGAUUAGUUGUUUGUCUCACCAAGCGAUUGACUCACUAACAUUUUUUCUCUAAUCCAAACUUAGUAUAGUUGAAUUGUCCACCUGUUUGAUGGGGUAUUAGGGCGAAAUAAUUGAAGAAUACCAAUUGGACACACAUUUUUACUACCAUAAUACCGUAAUACCAUACCUCCACUUGUUCACACUAAAAACUUUCCUUCAUAAUUUUUUGUUGGCCUCACAUUAUUGUCAUUAGAGCACACAAUUUUUACCCUAUUUGUAAAAACAAGUUGACGUGACACACAAUAAUUGAAAGUAGUAUGAACAAUUGCAUGAGAAUCCAGUAGCGCAAGAAAUUUUUCCCACGUAGUCAGCAGUCUAAAGAAAACCAACUCAUAAAAUUAUGUUUCAUCAAGCAUGAUUUUAAUAUAGGCUCAAUUUAUGACAAUUAGUUGUUAACAAAUAAUUGAUUGUUUUAAUUGUGAGAGACCAUGUGUAUAUCUAUGAGUUUUUUUAAUCAUUUCCUUCCAUUUGAUGUAAAAAUUUGGGUAAUUGCUUAUGAAAUAAGAAAAAACCUUAGCGAGAAUUUCUCUCCACUUUACUCCAUUCUUCGAACCUUUUUAUGAAUAAUCUUAUCUAGAAAAAAGGAAAAAUAUAAGUUCAUAAAUAAAUUUAAAAAAAACAUAAACAAUAUCGUGAAACAUAGAACCGAUUUGAAUUGACAUUUUAAAUGUUUCUAAACAUGUGUUUCACUCGUAAACAUUUAUUUAAAUACUCGAUCAAUCCAAAUACAAUCGUAAUAUUUUCUAAAAAGUUAUUUGAAACAACUUGUAUGAAAAAGACAAUAUAGCAUGAGAAAAUAAACUAGUGUAUCCACUUGGCAUCAAUGCCUAACAAAGGCAAUCAAAAGGCCUAAUAUGUAGGCCAAUUUACACAACUUCCUAGAGCCUAUAGAAAUGGUAUAUCACACAUUUUGAUCCACUCAGCACUUACCUAGGUGUUAUAAAGAAUACCAAACAAAAUUAAUGGCUAGGCACCCACUUAGGAACUAUCAUCGGUCUUGUAUAUAGGGCUUGCUUUUUCUAAAAGGAACAAAUGAGGGAUAGCCACAAACAAGAAUUGCAAAAAGAGGAAAUUUAUCUAGGGCUACGAAUCUUGAUUGUUUUAUUGCAUACAAUUUAAUGUUUCUUGUGCAUCGUUUGUUUAUCCAGUAUUUUUUUGUUAUUUUGUUUCUUAAUUUCAUUUUAUGUUGCAUCUUUUAAUUAUGAGGUAUUGCAAAAGGUAACUCUCUCCUACUUUCCUUAGUUAUUUUUGUUGUUUGUGUUGAAUUUCUAGUUGUGAAAUUUUUACAAUAAGUUUUAACUUUGAAAGUUUGAUUAGCUAAUAUAUAUCCUUUUUGUUACCUUCUUCUUCAAUUUGUAUUUAUAAUUACCUUCUUCUUCAAUUUGUAUUUAUAAUCUUUCGUGAUUUCUUGUUGUAGGAGGGGACGAGAGUAGAGGUCCAAGUAAAAGGUAAAUUUUGUUGGAUAUUAUUACAAAAUGUAAAGUAAAGAUCACUGAUACAAAUUUGUGUUACUUGACACAUGUAAUUUGUACUUACUUGACGUUUUUUUUAAUAAAAUUGUCAAGUAAUGAUCAUUUUAAGAAAAAAAGCGUUAAGUAACUUGUUAAAAAAGCGAAUAAUUUUUAUGAACAUUUUUUAACUUUUCCAUACUGAUCUUUACUUGAAGUUUUUUAAAUGCCAAGUGUAGUUAAUAUUUUCUCACAACACGCGAAACAAAUGUCAAGAGUAACGUUGAAUUUUAAUUGAUAUUUUUUAAACAUCAUGAAAACCGUAGCAUUAUUUCCUCCCAAUUUCACCCCUAAAUUUCAUUUUUCCACCUACUUUACUAAUAAUAAUAAUUUAAAAAAUAAAACUUUUCCUUUUCCUUUCCCUUUCUCAUUCCCCUCGGCAAACUCCCCCCUCCAAACUGCUCCAAGCCCAUCAUCCGCCGCUCACUGAUUUGGAUGUCGAAAUGUUGUAGGAACCUCGUCAAAACUGCAACUCUUUGAAAUACCGUCAAAAUUGCCACUCUUUUUUUUACCAUGUUUGUAACGACUAAACUUUUUAGAACUAAGCUGAGGUUAUUACUUAAAGAAAAUAACAUUUUUAAAACUUAAAACAAUACAAAGUUCACUGUUUUUAUUAAAUAAAUUAAAAAAUAAAAAAUCUAAAACAAAUGUUUGGCAAACCAAAUAAAAUAAAAUCUACUAAAGAAACCUAGUUCGAGCCUUAUCUAACUUUAAAACCAAGAAAACUUCUAUCAGUCAUGACAUAAAAGAUCAUCAUUGUGAGACCCGUUUCUAGAAUAGAAGGGGUCAUUUUGAAAACAAGAGUGAGUAAAUGAUUUUGAAAAAGGCAUUUUGAGAAGAAAGUAUGUAAGGAUUUAGGCAUUCUGAUUGAUCGCGUUGAAGUUAGGCGACGUGAGGAAGGAGGAAGGUGUUUUGAUGUAAGGCGAGAGAGGCCAGACAAUGAGAGUUAAGAAAUGUGAUGUCCUGAUCCGAAAAGGGAGUCCUAUUGAAGAGGAGCCUCAUUGGAUGAGAUUAUUUGAGUAAGUAUAAAUGAGACAUUUUGUGAAGAAGGGAUGCGAUGGGGGAAAAUGUGAUACAAAGAAAAAUAUUUGAGCCUAAGUGUUAUCAUGUUGGAGUAAGUGACACAAUGAGAAUAAUUGGCAAAGAAGAAGUAAGCGCUUAAUGCUAAAAAUUUUUUAAGCGAUGGGAUGGUAAGGCAGGGAGAAGUACCUACACCUAAAUAUGUUGUAAUGAAGUAGGUGUUCUGUUGACAAGACUAGACGGCCCUCUAAGGAAAAGUAAAUGUCUGUCAUUUUCUGAGAAGGGAGCUAGGGUGGUUGAGCACUCCAAAGAGGUAAGGUUGGAAUCUAAAGAAAAAUGUCUAAUUGCAAGAUGAUGGCUGGUUUAAGUGUCGAGUUGAAGUUGACUGCAUAGUGCGACAAAGCAAUAAAGUGACACAUGUAAAGCGUGAAAAUGACCUAUAGAUGUGAAAAGUCACUAUAAAUAGGACCAAAGGCUAGAAGAAUGGGCAUGAGAUGUUAGACACACUCUGGUAAGUUGUUAAGAGAAAGUUUUGAGUGUGUUGCAAAGGUCGAUUGAAGGAACCACUAGUCGGGAAGAGAAAGCCGAAAGGAAAAAGGGAGAAAGAGUUGAGGCUAAGUAUAUUACAAAUGAUUGUAUGAAAAACAUUCUUUUGUAACCAUGUGUUGUUGCUUAUUGUAUGAUAUUUGUUAUUGUUGUGAGAUCAUGCGUUGAAAGUAAGCUAUUGAGCUAACGUUUCUCAUUUUCACAAUAUACCUGGGAUUCACUUAACCAACAUUUACUCGUCUAGACUUGAGAUUCACUUCACCAACGCCUCGUGUUAAAUCUGGGAUUUCCACCAGCGUCACGCAACACUCUCUUUUUAGACCUGGGAUUCACACACCACACAUCACACAAUCAUUACCACUAACAAAUAAAAACGUUAGUUCAAUAGCUUACUUUCAACGCAUGAUCUCACAACAAUAACAACAUCAUACAAUAAGCAACAACAUAAGGUUAUGAAAGAAUGCUCUUCACACAACAAUUUGUAAAAUACUUCUUUCAUUUACAAGAAUCUUAAAUGCAAAGUUUCUAUUCAAAAUAAUUAUUCAUUCAUACUGAAUCACCUAUUUUACUUAAUAAAACACUUACAAACGUUCAAUCAUUUAAAAGACCACUAACAGAAAUACUUAGUCUAAACUCUUUCUCCCUUUUGCUUCCAACUUUCUCUUUUCACCUAGUGGUUCCUUCAACUGACCUUUUCCAUACUAAAAACCUUUUCUUAUCAAUUUAUCUGAGUGUCUAGUGCCUCAUGCUCUUUUCUUCCAGUCUUUGGGUCCUAUUUAUAGUGACCUUUCACAUCAAUUGGUCAUUUCCAUGCUUUACAUAUGUUCUUUCACAGCUUUGCCGCACUAUGCAGCUAACCCUAGCUCGACACGUAAGUCAUUCAUCACUCUGCGACUAGAAAUUUUUCUUGAGACAUCAACCUUAUCUCUUUGGAAUGUUGAGCUCGUCUAACACUCUUCUCGAGAAACGAAAGACAUUUACUUUUCCUUAAAGGGUCAUUUAGUCUUGUCACUUUAUAUUUUGAUAACAGUGAGUCAUAACAUUACUGAUCCAUUUACCAAGACUCUCACGGUUAAAGUGUUCGAGGGUUAUCUAAAAAGUUUAGGUAUUCGAGAUAUGUACAUUAGGCAAUCUAGGGCAAGUGGAAGAUGUGUAAUGAGUAUGAGGAUGCCUUGGUUUAUUACUUUUGUAUAUAUACGUUUUAUGUAAUAUACUUGUACAUUUUACCAUUUUCAAUAAUAAAUGAUUAUUUUAUUAUGUACAUCCAAUAGAUACUAGAGUUUUAGUCCAAGUGGGAGUUUAUUGGAAUUUAUGUCCUAAAACUCGUAAAUUCUAAAUAUAAUUCAUUGAACGUUAUUAAUAAAAUGUUAUUAUUAUAAUUUCAAUAAAUGUUAUUUCUUAUAUUAUUAGUUUUGUCUUAAUAACUCAAAUCCAAUAAACUAACCUCCUAAGCUGUUUGAUGAGUCUUGAAUAGUAUGUAGAGACAUAUAGGGUUCAAUGUUCGAGAUCAACUUAAAAGAAUUAUAGUGUAGGAAGAAGGAUAGGUACCUUAUUUUGGUAACACUAUAGAUACAAUUCACUUUGUAUUUUAUACAAUGCAAUGAUCCAACAUGUUUGUAUAGGUGAAAUACUAGUGAGGGUAUCUUAUGUAAUCAGUUUGCAUAAGAUCGGACCACAAAAUAGUAACCACUAGAUGUAACUCCGUUAAUUAGUUAGGUUUCUAUUUCAUAUAAACUUUUGUUCGCGAAAGAUUUUUCUUUGAUUUCUAUGGGUGAGAGUGACCAAAUUUCCAAUGCAAUAUGCUUAUCAUUUUGGAGAUAAGAUUGAGGGGGAGCUAUUACACAAGAUGAAAUUCACUUCUUCCCGACUUUAGGGUAAGUAGAUGAGUGUUCCCUUAAAUAGUGUCUCUAGGACUUGAACAAAGAGGCCUACCCUCUCUAUGGCACGAGAUGGGUUUAUGUUUAUUGGUUGGACCAUUGUUCAUUAGAGAAGCACUGGUAUUUAAGGACUAAAAGUAACAUAGGGGUAAAAUGGUAAUUUCACCAUUUUGGUGUUACGAACACUCGUGAAGGACUAACUUAGUGUUCUUGGUCUACAUCCGUAAACACAAAAAUAUAUUUGCAAUGAGAAGAGUUCAGUUGUGAGUCUUUAGUGGAGUGUAACAUAGUCUCGUAUCGUUGUAGUUUCUGAUUUGAAGGUCCAUUAAGUCCCCUUCCUUGCUCGUAAAGGGUAAUAGAUUUAUUUAUAUUGAUUGUAAUUUGAAAUGUUCAAAUUUAAUUUGCGAAUUAGUAUAAUGUAUGGUGACACAUUCUAAUAUAAAGUUUAUAUUUUAUUCAAACUUUAUUAUAUAAAUUUAAUUUUAGAAAUGAUUCAAAGUUAAUUUAUGAGAGACAAAAUUUUUUAAUGAGUUCAAAUAUUAAUUUAAUGUGAGUUGGAUUCAUGUUAAAAUUAUUGGUUACGAGAGAAAUUUAUAUUUAAAUAUGAUUCAAAUUUAAAUUAAGUUAAAUAUAAGAUAUUUAAUUUAGUCAUUAAUUAAUUGGAAAAAUUAAUCAAUAGUUUAGUUUUAUUUUAAUUAAUUAAAUUAAUUUAAAACUAUAACUCUCUCUUAGCUUGUCGCGUACUACUUACACUUAACACAUGUCAACCUACGUAUAAUUCAUCCAGCCAUGCAAACAACUUAAGCUUAACACGUAGCCAGCUAUCAACACAAGAUUAGACUUUUUCCUUGAAAUUCUAACCUUAUCUUCACUGAGUCUCUCUCAUCUUAUUACUCUAAAACACCUAACCUUUCUGCCAUCAAAAUGCCCUGCUUCUUUUGCCUUCAGUCUAAGCCAAACACACCCUCAAGAUUGCUUGAAAAUAGUUUACAUUUCUCUCUUUUCUUCAAAUCUCGAUCAAACACGGCCAGAAGAAUGCUCGAGUUUCCAAAUUCUUAAGCAUUCGGUUUAUCUCAGCCAAACAAGCACUGAGAUUGCCUUAGGAUUACACUUCUGUUUUCAUUUUUCCAGGAAUGCUAGAUGAUUGCCCGAGAUCCUUACACAAAAAUCAUUCUUUCUUUCCUCUCGAUCAAGUAAGACUGAGUUUUGCCCCUUCUUUUGUGUCACGAGUCUCACACUUUGUAAAUUAGUAUACUGAAAUAGUUAAACAUCAAAUCAUGUUUUAAACAUUUGAUUGUAUAAAUCAAAGUUAAAAAUUAACUUUAAACAUGCAUGUUUUGCCACUCACAAAUGGUAGCUUAGAUCCUUGACUUGUAAACUUACCAAAUCUUCUCUUGGCCUGAAAUAAAUGGAAAUAAAUCCAUUUAAUUUCAUUUGAUCAAGAAAAACACCAAAAUUUUACUUAAAAUUUCCAAAAAAUCACUAAAACCAAGAUCACCCAACUGAAGCUUAGCGCCAAACUACCCUCUUACUUUGGCUUCAACUCUUGCAUACAACUCAAAUUCUCUCUAGCUUGCCCUUGGAGUAAAAAUGAUGAGAAAUGAGUGAAAUGAAUAGAUAGUGACAAAAGUUGUUGUUGUAGUAUUGUAUCACUUAUAGUACUAACUGAAAAAUAGAUACUUUAAACUUUGUAUUGCAAAUCAUAAAACUGUUAUUAUGAUUUUUAUAUCAAAGAAAUAAAUUCUCUGAACUCAGAUCAAGGACCUCCAAGAUGUAAAUGCUAUUUCAUCGAACUAGGUUAACAAUAUCUUGUAUGUUGUAUCCUCUAUUGUUAACUGAAUGAUCUUCUCAAACACUAUUGUUGACUUCUUCUUUGUUUUAUUAAUGCCAAUUUUUUCUUUAGCCAAUUCUUUCUUCAGGAGAUUCCAACUCCAAAUUUGUCAUAUUGGCUGGGCCAAAUAUAUUAUCAAUUUGAUAUGCAAAGUCUUCUUCUACAUUUUUCUCUUUUUCUUUGUGCACAUUUUCUUUUAUGAUCAUCAUUUCAUGUUGUUCUUUUGAGAUUUGGAUGAUAAUAACGACCAACCACAAAAAAUAAUUAUUUCUUAUUUUAUUGUAGUUAUAACCUUGAUUACAAUCGUCAAACUCACGACAUUUACUUUAGGGAAUGAGAUUGUUCCAUUUGGUCAAGAUUCAUUAUUUUCAUCCACCACCAUUAAAAAUUUAAAACAUUUACUUAAGAAAAAUUUUGGUUAUAUAUUUAGUUGACUGAUGUUUAUGAUUAUUUAAUCAAUAACUCGUUGUCUCAUUCAACCACGAGAAGACAUUAAGAUAAGUACAUAAUAUUCUUCAAAAUAUUUCUCUCGAUAUUGCUAAUGUAUGGGCAUAUUCGAAAUGUAAAAUAAUUGCUUUCUGAUAAUCAUAUUCUUAAUGAAAUUUAAGUGUAUCAAACAUUUACGAUAAAGAACUAUUGCUACAAAUAAUAUAAAUUUAAUAUAUAUCAAACAUGCAAAAUAAUAUAUAUUUAAUUAAUUAAAAUGAGUAUGGAAAAAUUGACAUACCGUUUGAACCUAUGUUCUGCGAAGGAGACGGUUGGAGCUCGUAUUGAUAAUAUGUUUUAAAAACGAGGUACAACUGGAGCACAAAAAGCGAUAAAAGAUAAUAUUAAAAUAACUAGAAUAUAAUACAUAAAUAAAAUAAUAAAAAAGGUUAAUUUUCAUAAAUAUAGCAAACCGACAAAAUAUUUAUGGUCCAUGUAACAAAAUGAAAAAGCCAACGAAGUUGAACAUUUUUUUAAAAAUAUUCCAGGUUUGCCUUCAUUUUCAUCGUUUUUCUUCUCUUUCUCUUCUGUGAUUUUUUUCUUCUUUUCAUUGUCUUUUUCUAUUUUCUUCUGCAAUUUUUUUAAAAUAUUUAUGCUUGCCCUUUCACUUCCAUCUUUUUUGUUCUACAAUUUUUUCCCCUUCCAUAGUCUUUUUCUCUUCUUCUGCAAUUAUUCUUUUAUUUUUUUCAAACUAUUAUUUGGUUUAAGAUUGUGUACCAAAUAUAAAAGAUCUGUUUUUUUUUUUCCAAACUGUUAUUUGGUUGUUUAAGAUUUUGUGCUAAAUAUAAACGCUCGUAGAAAAAAAUAUCGUUGAGAUAUUGGAUAGCAAAUUCUAAACGAUCAUGUAACAAAAAAGUGUUGAGAUAUUGGAUAGCCAAAUUUUAAAAUUUGCUUAUAUUUUACUAUCCAAAUUUAAAUGAUUAAAUCUAAACGAUCAUGUACUAAAAAAUAGUCAAAUCUAAAAGAUCGUUUACCAAAGAUUUGGUUCACCAAAUCUAAACGAUUGUUUAUGAAAGAAUAGUAAAAUAUAAACGAUUGUUUUCCAAAUAUAUUACAUGUUGGAUGUCAAUUAAUCACGAUACAUUUUUGGUAUUUCUCAUGUGAGCAUGUAAGCUAUUUUGGUUUUCGAAAUUGUUCUAUACAGUGUAAAUGUCUUACCGCUUUGUUAUAUUUUUUAAAAGACCUUAAUAAAGAAAGUAAUAAUAUAUAAACGAAAUAAAGAAAUAAUAAAGAAACAAAGAAAAUUAAAUAUUUAGAAAAUUCUAAAAGAAAUACACUACCUCCCUUCUAUUUGGAAAAUCCUCUCGUAUAAGUAUGGAAAUGUAAUCCACCAAAGUGCCACUAUUCAUAGGUAAUUUGAUAAGCAUGAGGUGAGUUGCAUGUUCAUUAAAGAAUGAUAUCUUUAAAACACAUGUCAAAGGUAUUGGAUAAACAAGGAAAUGCAUGUGACUAUAAACACUAAGCAUAUUAAUGGACAUCUAUAUACCGAAAAUGUCAUAAGCUGUUCAAUGGACGACUAUAUACCAAAUUAGUCUUUGAAAACAAAGAUACACUUGUAUUUUUUUGUGUUGUUAUGUCUGUUUAGUUGUCUUUAACCUAUUGACUAUAUGUACCAUUUUAGUCUUUCACAAAAGACUGAUUCAAUAAAGAUAAAAAAUGUACACUAUUUCAAAAAGUAGUUUGAAGACCAUCUAUUUUAUGUACAUAAUUUCUUAAACACAUCUCUAUUUGUAUGCUUAAUUCGUUAUUUUAAAGUGAACGUAGAUCUCUAUCGUGACCUAUUUAGACCUAUUUUAACUAGAAAGUAAAAUUUUGUUACAAUUGUAAAUAAAUUAGCUCAUUUUAACAUAUUUGAAAACAUCUCUUAAUUUUUUUUCUCUACAUUUUAACCCUAACAAACUAUUUUACAUUCUAUUAUCACAUGAAUUAUUUUUCAAAAACAAAAAGGAAUUUUUGAAAUCUAUUAGACCUAAAUAUUUGAAAAGUAGAAAAAAAGUAAAUUAAGAGUAAUAAAAGAUAUGAAUAUAUAUAAAAGUUUGCGUAAGAGAGAAAUAAAAAUUGGUUCAACUUUAUAGAGAUGUUUGAGUAUGGUAUCUUUCAUAUUGCCUCAUCCUUAUCCCUUGACUACACACCUAAUACUUCAAACCUUCAAAUAUUAAUAUUGCUUUUCAUUCAUCAAAUUUUAAUAUCUAUAUUUUCAAUUUUUUUUUUUUUUUUGUUCCUUUUGUUCUUUCAAAAUAUCAAUUUUUGAUUAAUUUCAAUGUAUAGUCUUAAAUAAAGAGAAGUUUAGAGUGAAUAUAAAAACAAAGAAAAGUAGAAAAAGCAAAAGGAAUUAUAUUAGAGCUAAAUAAAUAUAUAUGUAUAAUUGAUUGCAAAUAAUGGAUCAUGAGUUAAAAAGAAACUUUUAUGUAAUUAAACAUUUAUGAAUGGAUGAUGAGUAGAGCAAAACUUUAUGAAUCCCAUCAUAUGAUACACUCAACCUUCUUCUUCACUUUAAUCUCAAUCAUCAAAAAAUGUAUUGGAAAAGAAAAACAAAGCAUCGUCCUUCCUUUUUAUCAUUAAUAUUUUUUUAAAAAAAAAAAUCUUUUGACCACACAUUAAUAUCUUAAACAAAAUCUAUUCAUAAAUUGGUAAAAAAGAUGGAAUUCACUUUAUUACCCUAAUUAAGUGCAAUGGUAUCUCUAUCUUUCAUUCUCUUUUUUGAAUUUUUAGAUAAUACAAAUAACCUAACUUACUUUAUCCACUCAAAUAUAAUAAUAAUAAAAUCCGAUGAUUUCGCUUUUUUUUCUUUUUUUCUAUACAUUAUAUUUGAUACACGAUCGCUUAAAAUUGGGUAGUCAAAUCCUAAUAAUUUUUUUAAUAAAAGAUUUUUUUAGUACACAAUCCUUAAUUUUUUAAUAAAAGAUUUUUUUAGUACACGAUCGUUUACAUUUGAUACCUAAAUCUAAAUAAUUUUUUAAAGAUUGUUUGGUAUACAAUUGUGACUAUUUUUUUUAUACGCUCCAAAUCCAAACGAUAUUGUUUUUCAACAUCUUUUAUAUUUGGUAGAGGAUCUUGAACAACUAAAGAUUUGAAAAAAAUAAAUAUAUAUAUUUUUUAUUUAGCACACAAUCUUCAACCAAAUAACAAUUUGAAAAAAAAUGGAAAAUAUGAAAUAUUGUUAAAUAAUGGUAAUAGGAUUUUUAUUUUGUUAUUCAUAUCGUAAAUAUUUUAACUGUUUGUUAUAUUUACGAAAAAUAGUUAUGUAUUAGUUUCAUUCAAUUGAUACAGUAACAUGAUUAUUUUUGAUGUGGUAGUUCAAGUUUUGAAAAUUAUCAAGGUUUGUUGUGUCAAAGUAUUCUAAAAACAGCAGGUUUAUGUCCAAUCCUUUAGAAUAAUGAUUUAUUCUUAUGAAUUUUUUGUGUCCAGAAAAGUAAUAAUUUUUCUUGAGUUUGAAGUGAGAAAUUGAAUUUUAAUCGCAACAUAUAUUGUACAAAAAAAAAAUGUUUAUUAUUAUUAAUUAAAUUUAUGACAACAUUUAUAUAUUACAAUUACAUUUCUUUGAAAAAUAUAUUUUGGUUGAACAAGCAGCUUCUUAUUUGAUUUACGGUAAUUUCUAAUCAUUUUAAAAUUAAAUCCACGUGUCUUUUAGUGUUCUAUAUUAUCUCGUCACACCUCACUUGUAUUUUCAUCCAAGUGUUCGUAAAUCAUAAUUUUAUUUUAGUAAUCACGUUUGGUUUAUAAAUAGCAUUGGAAUGCUUAAAUUAAAAAUAAAAGGGAAAAGAAAGUUUCUUCGUUAUCUUCACUAAGAUAACCUUCGCCCGUCGCCUUACCAAUUUUGGUUAAGAUUGGUAAGUUAUGUCAGUGUUUUGGGUUGGAUUUUAAUAUCCAUUAAAGGUUAAUUGAGACUCCAAAUUAAAUUUAUUAUUAAAAUUGAUUUUGGUUGCAUGUCUUUAGAAAGUCCUUUUGGUAAAACUCGAAGAUUUAAGUGUUGAAUUUUUCCCAUCAAGGUUGAAUUGGUUUCAACCUCAAUUUUUGGAUCAAAUGAAUUGGAGAAUUUUUACUAUCAACUAGAGAGCAUUUUGUUUGGCUAAUCUUAGGUUGAUUCUACCAUAGGACCUUCGAAUUAAAUUUUAAAAGCUACAUGUAGUUUAUGAUUAUCACUAUUAUUACUAUUACUACUACUAUUAAUAUUAGUAUUAUUAUUAUUACUAUUAUUAUUAUCAUUGUGAUUAUCAAGAUGAUGAUUAUUCUGAUCAUUGUUAUUAUUAUUAAAAAUUUCCUUUCCUCGUCUUCUCUUUUCAUCUCCCCUAUCUCCCCAAACCCUCUCCAUAUUGGGCAUAGGCUAUUAAAAGUGAGCUACAAAACAAAAAUUACUUGAAAUUAAAAAUAAAGAACAAAAUAUUAUACCCAAAAACAUACUCUCUCGGGCGAAGCCACCAUUUUGGAAACUCAUUCAUUCAAAACCCUCACCCCAUUCGAAACCCCCCACACACACCCAAACCCUCUGCCGCCGGCCGUCCACAACUUCGACCGUUUGCUUCCAUUGUCGUCGACGACGUCUGCCCACCCCAAAGGAACCCCGCGCGCGAAGUCAAUCUUUUGGAAACCCCGGCCCAUCCGUUGUAAACGUUCACCUCCAUUCAAAAAAACCCAUUCGAAACCCCCCACACACCGAAACCCUCUGCCGCUGGCCGUUCACAACACCGACUGUUUGCUUCCAUUGUUGUCGACAACGACUGCCCACCCCAAAGGACCCCCCGCGCGCGAAGUCAAUCUUCUAGAAACCUCGGCCCAUCCGUUAGCAACAGGAAGGGUCCGUGAUAUGUCAUAUGGGGAAUUAGUUUCGCUUCCGCGUCUAUGUAUUAGUUUUCCAGUAUUUUGGUUUUAGAAACCUUAUUUAAAGUCGUGUCUCAAUUUUUUAUCUUUUUGUCUUCAAAGAAUUUUUAGAACCUGUGGGUCACGUUUUCAAAUUAUUUUUAUUAGUUUUGUCGAUUUUAUGUCUUCGACCAUUUAUUUGAUAAUUAAUUUUAUAAAAAUUUUAGUUUUCCUAUUUUUCAAGAAAGUGUAAAUGUUAAUUGUCUUUGAGUAAUGAUCUCAGCUUAGUUUGAAAGUUUGGAUCGUUACAAUAGAAGUAACCAAAAACCAUUAUAAGAUAUCAGUUGUUUGAGCUCUAAGUAAAACAAUAAAAACAUAUGUUCUCAAUAAAACCAUCGCAGACAUGCCAUAGAAAACAUAAGGAAAUGAUGAAAGAUAGCGGAAGCAAUAUCGACGGUCGCUAUAUGGUCAGUCACUGGUCCUUCUUCUUGUUUCUUGCUAGCUUGCUUUUCCUCUUUCUUUUCCUAAAAAGUUAAACAUAGAAAAAGUGACUAUAUAAAAUUUACCCGAAAAGGAACCCACCAUUGGGCCCACUAGGUGAAAGUUAACUUCAUAUUAGGUGUAUACCCCAUGUCAUAACAAACUUGUGAACCAGCAGAAACACAAAUGAAUCUGAUAAAGGUGAACCCACAGGAACACAUAGUAAUGACAUAUAGUGAGCCCACAGAAAAAUAUAAUAAUCACAUAGAGUGAGCCUGUAGGUGUUGAGGUUGAUGCUCUAAAUCUCGUGGUCUUGUAGUCGAUAAACUUUCUUAUGAUGAUGGGUGGAAAAUAUGCAGAAAGUCAUAUAGUUCAUAGUUUAUAGUUUCAAAAAAAGCAGUAAGAUAUUAAAUGAGAUAUUUGGAAACUAUUUUCUUGCUAAAAAUCUUUUGGUAAUAAACCACUCACAGUUACAGUGGACCCGUUUAGCUUGUCCGACCGAGAUCCCCUUGCUUGUUUUGGAAUCCUAAUCAGAAUGAGAUCGUUCCCGUCUUGGAUCCUUAACACCUUUCAGUUUUCUUCUUGGAAAAAUAGGGUAAGAGUAAUCUCAGAUGACUUGUACUCCCAAUUUAUAGAUCUUUUCAAACAAUUCUUUCUAUACUGAAAUGAUUUCCCUAAUCGGCAGCAGAGUGUGGCCCAAUUUUGAAAUACCACAUGCAUCUGUCAGACCUUAUUCUGAACUUAGGUUAGGCGAUCGGGUCCCAUCAAUUGUCAACUUAGUGACAUUUACAUCACACCAUCGUCCCUAGGUGAAGUAGGCUAACUUGCCCAUCUGAUCACCACGUCUCCUAUUCGCGUAAGAGUUCUUAUCUCAAGACCAUUAUCACGUUGUCUAUAUACGAUCAGGGCCUUACAGCUGAGCAUCUCCCAUUACGACAAAGAUGAUGGGAGUAGUAGGCAUGCCCUAUUACAUCGUAGAGUUAAGGUUAGAAAGGAAGACAUUGAGGGUAUUGGGCAUGCCCUACCAUAACGCAGUAAAGUCAAACUAGUUGCUUCUAAGCCCUGAGUUGUUUUGUUAUAAAUAUUUGCUAGAAAAGUACUUUAUAUGAAUGUAUUAUGUGGUGUAUACUUAUUUUAGUAAAUAUGUUUUGUCUUAAGAGCUAUCACUCACGAGGCUCUAGAGUUCAUCAUUUCAAUGUUUAUUUCUCUUACAUGUAAAGAUCAUGGUUUCGGCGCCUAUUAAAGUUCUGCCUACUCUGCUAAAAUUUUUAUUAGAUUUUGUACGACACAUUCCAUACAUGCAUGAUAGUUUGUAAUAAGCUCAGAGAGGACUUAGUCCCUACUAUGUAAUAGACUAGUAUAAUAGUUUGAUUUGAGUUUUGUAAUAAUGUAGUUUGGUUGGAAAUAUGAACUUCGUUUUGUCUAGAUUGUUGUGCAGGUUGUCCAUUGGUUAGGUAAACUUGAGAAUAUUUUGCAAAAAAAUUAAAUUAUUGUUUUCAAGCUAUACUUUUCUUUCCAUAUUUUAUGUCUAUGUUUAAUUGAAAAGAUAUAGAUAAGACUUACAGGUUAGGGAAGGUUGAUAGGAAAAAUUAGAAAUAUUUAUGAGAGGAUCCUGGUCUAUAAAGAUUUUCUGAACCACUCACUUAUAAAUUAUUUUGACUUAGCUAUAAAGCUAGCCCCUGUCAAUAAAUUUUAUGGAUCCACAACUGUAUGGCACCUAUGAGUUUGUUGUCAUGUCCUUCGGUUUAAUCAAUUCUCCAGCAACAUUUUGUACCCUAGUGAACAAGUUGUUCCUUCCAUUUUAGAUCAGUUCAUGGUAGUGUACUUGUUGGAAUUUAUGUCUUAAAAUUUAUAGUUUGUAGUUUAAAAUUAUAUUCUAUUCAAUAAAGUGGCUAUUCAGGGCUUACUAGUGAAAAUUGAAAACUACAAUCUUGAAUCUAUUAAACUAAGGUUCUGAGGCUAUUUAGUGUAGACUUGAACUUUUUGUAGAGAAAUAAACAUGGAUCAAGUUCAAGUGUAUAACCUAAAUGGUCUAUAUAGUGUAUGAAUAAGGUUGGACGUUUUAUUCUAGGGACACUAUGGAUGUGGUUUGCUUUGUAGUUUGUAGAAAUGAUGUGAUCCUCAAUCGUUCAUGUGGAGACAUGGAAGUAGAGGCGUCCCAUGUAAAGAGUUUACAUAAGACUAGAACAACGAAAUAAUCACUUUUACGUUUUAACAUCGUUGAUUAUACAAAACUAACUAUUUUGAUUAUUUAUGACCUAGGUAAUUUAAUCUUAAUCUUGAACUAACUAUAAACUUUUGUUCGCACAGAAUUAUCCUUAGAUCUGCAUAGAUAAGAGCAGCUCAACAGCGCUAGCUCAAUAAGCCUCUCAUUUCAGAGAUAAGACCCGGUGGGUAGCUAGGGACAUAGGGUCCAAGACAAAGUUCACUCAUACCCACUUUAGGGUUACUAGAUAGGUUGUUCCCUUAAGGACUGAAUCCUUUCAUUGGCUCGAGUGAGAUUCGAUUUACAAGUUGAACCUUAAACCAAUUAUUUAAUAGUGGAUUAGUGGGACUUAAGGAGCAAGAUGUAGUCUCAAGGGUAAAACGAUAUUUUUAUCUAGCCAAGGUUACAAAUAACCUAUGAAGAAUUAGCGUACUAAUCACGGUUAUAUAAGAUGAACACAAAUAUAUCUAUUGUGAGGAGAGUGCAACUACGGGACUUUAGUGGAAUGACCCGUUAGUUAAUGACUGUUGAUUAGUUCAGUUUAUAAGAGUUUAACCAGUUAACCUAAGAUCGUUGAAGUCCAUGAAGUAGAGGUCUAUUAGGUUCUUUUGUUAGCUCGUAUGGAUUAAACUUAGAAUAGUAUGAUAAAAUAAUUCGAGUUGUUAGAAUUUGGUAGGUAAAGAGAGAAACUGACAAAUAUAUGUGAUACAGUCGUUGAUUAUCAGUUUGAGAUAGAGCUUUAUGUUUUCAUACAAUUUAAAUAUAAAAAAUAUAAAUGGAGAUAUAUAUUCGGAAGCUAAAAUAUGAUGAACGUAGUCAUACUUGAAAAAAAAGUCAAAAUGUUGACUUUUAACUUGUUUAAUUUUCAAAUGUGAUUUGAAUUUUGAAAAAACUGAAUGCGGAUUCAUGCUUGGGAGGUCAAAAUUAGUUAAGUGAGAUCAAAUGUUAAAAAGUCAACAUGUUGACUUUAGACUUAAAAAAGUGACCAAUCAAAUGACCAUAUUACGCUUGGACUAAAAUUAGUAAGAAAAUUCAACAUUUUGUUGGAUAAUCCCACUUACACUUAAUGGGAUAAGUGGCUACAUAGGAUGUAAAUAUGUGGAAAUGUUCGGUGUUGAGAUUUGUGAUAACGUGUAGAAAUACACGUUACUAUAGCUUCUUAUAUAGAAUAUUGAAGCCAAAACGCAUAAGUAGAAUGUCAAAACGGGUAGUUUGAACGGAGAAAAGUUCAUCUUCCAUUUCCCCUAACUUGUAAUACUUUUCCAUUUUAUUUCUUUUCCAUUUUUUUAUUCUUUGUAAUGCAUACUAUUCAUAUUGUACAACAAUCAAAGGCCUAUAUUAUUUGACAUAUAUAUUACAUGUUUAUACCUUUUUAAUCCAUCGUAUCUUUAGUUUCCAUCAAUCAAUGUGUUAUUUGUAGUUUGGGUUGGCGAUAAGUUCUUGAUAAGAAAUUUUGCUUAUAAGUCUUAUUGCAUUACUUGAGCUAUUCUCAUUGCUUAACCAACAUAAGUUGCCAACUACCUGAGAGAGUAAGUAGCAAGGACAUGGCUAACACACACAAAUAAACUAAAACUGACCCUUAGUAACUAAAACUUCUUCUACUUUUAAAUAUAUACCACAUGAAUCACAAGGAUGGAAUCAUGGACAUUCUGGUGGGCCCUCAUCCCGUGAUGUGAUAUUUACGAGAUGAAAAUUAGGCGUCAGUAGUUUCCUAUCUCGCUAUAGCUACAAUGAGAUGGAAACUUGGUAUUUGUACAGGCCCUCAUCCUUUAAGAUGGAAAACUAGGCAUCUGUACACCCUCAACUCAUUUAUUUGUUCCAGUGAUGGAAACUAGGGUAUCUACUGAUCAAUCCCCUCAUUAAAAGAACAUUUGUGCACAAGCCAUAUCCCCCAACAAUUUGCUAUACAUAUUGAACAGUAUAGUCUAAAUCAUUAUGAAAUCAUUCUUUAACUUAAAUACUUAUCAUAAAAUAUACUUGACAAAUGUUUCAAAUCUCAUGCUUUGGAAACAUUUUGCUAAAUCAGUAAACUCAAGUAAUUCAUACAUCAAACCAUGCUUAAAACAUUUAACAGAUAAUUUAGAUUCAGAAAUCAACAUUAAAUUAAUUUUAUCACUCAUAAAUUGUAGCUCAAAACCUUGGCUUAUAAACUUGCCCGAUCUCUUCUUGACCUAAAAUAACGAGAAAUAAUUCCAUUUAAUUCCCUUUAAUCAUAAAAACCUCAAAACUUUGCUUAAGAUUUUCCAAAAUAUCAAAAACACUCCAAAAACACCGAAAUGGCAUGUCUGGCCUGCAACGGGUGGAUAGUAGAGCCCUAGCUACGUGCUCUAGGUUGCCCACGCUAACCCUUAAUAGUAAGUUAAGGGUUAGAUUCAAAUAAUAAAAAAUAAUAAUUUGGUUAUUUUGAAAUUAGUAAAAUAGAAUAAAGUUGUUAAAAUCUUCAACCAAUUGGUUCAGUCCCGAGAUAUUAUGAAGAGGUUAUAAUAGGGGUUAUUAUAUCUCUAACAUGUCCAAAACAAUUAUACUCAUAAAUGCAUGACAAUGAUUAAUUACACUAGAGAUUAAAUAAUUACAGUUCAAGAAUGUGAGUAUUUUGGUAUUUUAUAUAAAAUACCAUGUAUGUAUUAUUGCUAAAAAUCAAAAGAAAAAAUAGUUUUACCAUUUUUGAAAAUGACUCAUAAAAACCACACCUACACCAAACGUUUUCUUCUUCAAAAGAGAUUCUCUUUCCUCUCAAUUUGUUCAACAACUAGUCCUCAUUAUUGUUGAAAUAAGUAUAUAUAUAUAUAUAUUUAAAUAUUGAAUGGUGAAUUAAAUUUCAACUCCAUCAUCUUGGAUUUCUUCUAUGUUGAUAAAAAAGACGAACACUUUCAUGAUUGAACUAAGCUAAGUGGGAAUUUCAUGUAUUCGUUCCAAAAAGUGGGUGGUCAAAGAUUCACUUCACUUUGCAAUUUAAGCUGUCACUCCAAACCUUCUUUGUUUUUUUCUUCGUCUUUCUUUUUUGAUGACAAAAAUGACCAAUCACAUAUUCAAUAUGAUGAUAAAUGUGUGUUAUUUGGUUUCCUUUCUUUAUGCUAUCUUUUUGUACAUGCUUUGCAUUCAAACCUUGCAUAAAACUAAUAAAGGACCAAUCACACCACACUUUAAUUAUGUCUUCUAUACUUUUUUUAUUAUUAUUAUUUUUAAGUUGAUUAUGCAAGGAUUAAAAUAAAGAAAAUUUUCAAAUGGUUAAUUGCAUCAUGCUCAUUAGGUCGAUAUAUAUAAUUGCAUCAUGCUUAUUUCAAUAACUAAUUUACUUGGAUAAGUUGUUCGUUUAAACCAUUCAAUUUAAUCAAAUCGAGCAAAUAAAUUUGAGUAUGUGAUGAUAUCAAUUAGUAUGGUUUUUUAUAUUAUUCAUCAUUUGGUUAAAUUGAGUAAGUAUACCAAUGGAAUGAAAUGGUUUAAAUAAAGAAAUUACCGUAAUAAAUCAUGGUUUAAAGUAUAUUAAAACUAAUUUGCAUAUCACUAUAUAAUUAAGUUACUCAAUUAAAAAGGAAUACUAAAAGGUGAAGUGUCAAAUUUUUGUUCUUGGACUAAUAAUGUUCAUUACUCUUUUAAAAAAAAGUAAUAUUCAUUACUUAAAUCAAGUUUCAUACUUAAAAGAUUAAAAUUGAAGAAAAUAUAUGGGUUUUUAAUUUGAAUUGUUGUUUGUCCUAUGUGAUCAUUAAGAAAAGGAUCCAAAUAAUUAUACACUUUAUUUAACAUAUAUAUCAAAUGAAGUUAAUAACUGCACACGAAUGGUGUAUGCCCUUUUUCUUUCUUGUUUUCUUUUUGAUAAUAACAAAGAAAAAGCUGAACUUUUCUUUGUUAUAAUUAAUUUAGACCAAAAUAGUGUAAUGGGGUAGUUUUGUAGCUUUAUGGGAAAAGAUAAAUUAGUAAUUAAUUAGUUUAGUAUGUAUUUGUUUGUUAAAGGCACAAAAGCUUGAGAGAGUGAUAUGAUUGUUAUAUUAAUUUAAUCAAAAUGUUAGGAUCCAAAAUUAAGAGUGAAUAUUCUUAGGGUUUUGACUAAGCUUUAAUUUUAAAAUAAAGUUGAACUCCAUUUUGAAAAGAGGAUACUUUUUGUAUGUUUUGUUUUCUUAAACAAUCUAAUUACAAUCCUCAUUAGGUGGGCAUUUGAUAUUGCUUCCUAGCUUUUAGGUUCUAAAAGUUUCAAAAAAUGCUCUUCAUCUUACCAAAUAUCCAAGUAAGAGUUAUAUAUAUAUGGUUUUAAUCCUAACUUUGUUUAGAACAAUUAUUAUUAAUUAUGAUGGGGUGCCAUUAUACUAACUUUAUUGUAUAUUAUAGAUUAUAUUGAAUUGAAUUUCACAUUGUAAUAAUAAAUAGAAAACGUGCAGAUUUUUGAAACCUUUUAUGUAAAAGGAGUUUAUAUAUAGCACAUUAUUGAGUGCAUAUAAGUCCAAGAAAAAUAAACAUUUUGCAAUUCUAUCAUUUUCAUUAAAAUAUAUAACGUCUAACUCAAGGAUAUCACAUUGCAUCAUAUUAAUUUUUCUAACAAAUCGAAGUUAGGACUAAGAACUCCUAAAAAUUUCUCUUUGUGGGGACUAAGAACUCCUAAAAAUUUCUCUUUGUGGGCUCGUCUUUUUUCUCAAUUUAAUUUUUAAGUUUUUGAUUUUGUACGGUGGUUAUUAGGUUUUAAAUGUGUGUAAAAACGUCAAUAGAAACAUUGUGAAACUAUGUUAGUUUAUGAAAAUGUGUAAGAUCAUAAUAAAAACACUAGAAGAAAUAUGACCUUUAAUGUCAGAAAAAAUGAAAACGAAUAUUUAAUGUCAGUUUCUAAAAAGCAAAUCUUUAAUGUUAGUUUUUUUAGGUUAUUUGCAUGCUCUUCAUGUCUUACUUAACAAAGACAAUAUAUCCUUUCAUUUCAUACAUUGCCCAUCCCUCCUUCUGGCCCCUUUCUUUGACUUCAUGCCUUGUCCCCUUUCUAUGGCACUUCAAUCCUAUAACAUGUGCUUUCUAUGAUUUUUGAAAAUUAACACUCAGCUGCCCUUUUAACCAAGUAUUGAAAUAUAUUUCUUUUUUAGUCCAAAACAUUAUACAUGCUCUUUAAUUUGGUCAUAAAUACAUAAAAUCUUGGUAUAAAUUCCACUUCCACCAAGGUACACCCUUGAGCUUCUUAGAAAUUUUGAAAUUUAAAAAAUAUUGAAAAUUUUCUAAAGACUUGGGAAUCGGGGUUUACAAAAAUAAUGAAGUCUAAUCGCAUGAGAAUAGAAGUAAACAAGGAAAAAAAGUAGGUGAUUUGAUUAAUUUGUGAAUAACAGUGUACAAAAGAACCUCAUCCUUGUUUUAUAGUGUUUUAGUGCUUUUAUCACAGGAUAUUAGGAAAAACAAGUGAAGCUCGAUGAUAUAAUGUUUACACGAGGAGACGCGUCUAGCCAAGGCAGCGACAAGCAAAUAAGCUAGGUGAUUUGAGGCACUAGCAGCCAAAUUUGGUUGGUAGGAAAGUCAAGAAAAGGAUAAAAGAACGUUUGUGCAAGGCUGAUACAACUUUUCAGAGCAUUAGUGACAUGUGAGAUGUCUUGUCAACACCACUCUUUGCCUAUAAAUAGAGCUUCUUACUUCAGAACAAAGUGUGCACAUAUUGGUCAAAGAGCAAGUUCAUACAUCGUUCGUCUUCUCCCUUCCCUAAGUUUUAGGUGAGAGCUUAGAACAAAAGAGAGAGAGUUCAUCCUCUUCAUCUUCUCACUCACCAAUAGGCAAAAAUCAGAGCCAAAGAGUAUGAUAAAUCAUAGUUUGAGGCAUAACACCUUCUCUUGUAUUCCGUAUCACAAUUUUCUUAUAUUUUUUUGUAAGAUGUAUAUCAUGGCCGAAAGACCUAAAGUUAUUUUUAUGAAAGCAAUACAUUUCUUCUUCCAUUCUCUCAUUUAUCUUUUAUUUUUCAUGUUCAAUAUGUUUGGUUAACUUGUGCACAAUGAAAUGUGUUUUCAGUACCUAGAGAAUCAUUGUGUUUGCACUAUGAGUUUCUUUUAGUUAAACGCAGAGGUCAAAACAUUAUUUAUUAGAGAGAAGAACAAUGAUAUUGAUUCUAAUCACCUGACAAGUGAAGACACGCAUUUAGCUAAGCAAGUGGCGAGAAGAUUGUAGCAAUACAAUCUUGUUGCCAAGCUUAUCCUUCGCAUCCAUUGCAAAAAUGUCAAUGUGUGUGAAAAAAGCACCGAGAACCACCCUAAUCAAGGAGAAAUGACUAAUAAUAUAUCCAAGAUGAUUAGAUAUAAAUCAUAGCUUAACUUUGUGUAUUUAGAUCCCCCGCAAGCGAGCAAGUAUGGCAAUGGCGACGAGAGGUAGCUUGCUCUAAUUCCAAGUUAAUAUAUGCUUUAUAUCACCUUGAAUUAUUAAAACACAAUUCCAUACUAAGAGAUAAUUAAACUAUUCCCUUCUCACCAUGCCUAGACAUGAGUUCAAUUUUUAUUUUCAUCAUCUUGUCAUGUUCACCCUACACCGCCAAGCACCUUAGUUUAGAUAGUUAGGAUAAAAGUACACUGUGCAUAAUUUUACUAUAUAGUUUAUACCGCAUAAUUUAGUUGCACGAUAAGAGAUCUAGGAGCUUAAAUUCUCUGUGUUUAACCCUGGACAUUCCAGAAACCCUCUCUUCGCUUACAUUUGAUAAUAGAGUGGAAAACUUGCACGACAUGCAUAUCCUUAGAAAGUUAGCAAUGCAUGAAUAGAAAUGUAGCUUUUAAUGCACAACCCUAUUCAGUCACCUAAUAGUCUCUCGCUUAGAGCUCACCAUGAUAGAUCCAUGAUAGAAACUUAGGCAUAGAAUAUUUCAAGCACCAUUUCUCAACCAAUGCCCAUUCUGGUUGUAGUGGCAACAUUUACCUUUCGCAACUUUCUUUCCCUUGCUACACUUGGGAGUCUUCCCCUUUCCCUUCUCCUUCAUUUCUGAAGGUCCAACUAUAGUUUUAAUGGAUGAUAAUACUCUCAUAAACUCUUUCUCUAUGGUAGCUGUUGGGAUUUAUGUCCUAAAACUCGUAGAUUGUAAAUAUAACCAAUUGACUGUUAUUAAUAAAGUGUUAUUAUUAUAUUAAAUAUUAUUAAUUAUAUUAUUAGUUUUGUCUUAAUAACCCAAAUCCAAUAAACUAACAUCCUAACAUGUUUGAUGAGCCUUGAAUAGUAUGGAUGCGACUCACUUUGUAUUUGAUAACACUAUGGAUACGACUCACUUUGUAUUUGAUACAAACGCAAUGAUCUAACGUGUUCAUGUAGGUGUCAUACGAGUGAGGGUAUCCUAUCUAAUGAGUUUGCAUAAGAUUGGACCAUGAAAUACUAACCACUAGAUGUACACUAUUUAGGUUUCUAUUUCAUUAGAAUGACCUAUGUAACUUAGUCUUAAUCCAAAGUGUAUUAUGAAUUCUUGUUCGUGAGGGAUUGUCCUUUGAUUUGUACGGGUGAAAUUGACUAGAUUGUCGACUAAAUAUGCUUAUCAUUUUGGGGACAACAUGAGUGGGGAGUUGAGAACAUAAUUACACAAAAUGGAAUUCACUCCUUCCCUACUUUACGGAUAAGUAGAUAAGUAUUUCCUUAAAUUGUGUCUUCAAGACUUGAAUAAAGAGUCAUAUCCUUUCUAUGGAAUGAGAGGGGUUUCUGUUUAUUAGUUGGACCAUAAACAGGUUAUUCAUUAAAUGAGUACUAGAACUUACAGACUAUAGUAACCUAGGGAUAGCUGGUGUAAUGAACACUCGUGAAGGACUAACUUACUGUUAUUAGUCUAUAUCCGUGGACACAAAAAUAUAUCUACAAUGAGAAGAGUUCAGUUGUCAGUCUUUAGUGGAGUGUACACACAGUUAAUGAAUAUUGAUUAAUGUGGUUAAUGAGUUUAGCCAAUUAAUCUCAUAUCGUUGUAGCUUUGAUCUAUAGUUUCAUUGGGUCUCCUACCUAGCUCCUAAAGGAUAAUGAGAUUUAUUUAUAUUGGUUGUAAACUCAAAUGUUCAAAUUUACUUUGAGAAGUAGUAUAAUGUAUGGUGAUACAUUAUAAUAAAAUGUUUAUAUUUUAAGCAAACUUUAUUUUAUAAAUUUAAUUUUGGAUAUGAAUCAAAAUUAACUCAUGAGGUAUAAAAUAUUUUAAUGAGUUCAAAUAUUAAUUUAAUGUGAAUUGUAUUCAUAUUAAAAUUAUCAGUUAGGAGAUAAGUUUAUAUUUGAAUAUUAUUCAAAUUUAAUUUAAGUUAAAUAUAAGAUAUUUGAUUUAGCUAUUAAUUAAUUGAAAAAUUAAUUAAUAGUUUAGUUUUAUUAAAUUAAAUUAAUUUUAAAAUAUAAGAUAUUGGAGAGAUAUUAAUUAAAUAUGAUUUAAAUGAAAUAUUAAUUAAAUGUGAUUUAAUUAAUUAUUCGUCGAUUAAUUAGUUGAUUUGAAAUUUAUAUUUUUGAAAAUUUUUAAUUAAUAGAAUCUAAUGAUUCUCUUCUACUCCAAGGAAAUGAAGUUAUAAAUAUGCAUAAGAAAAACAGUUUUUCUAAGUCAAAAUUAAGCUAAUGUUUUUGCUCUCUGCAAAAAUAGUUUCUCCCUAAAAACUUUUUUCCAUCCCAGUUGGUCCUGACAAACCAAUCUCAUCCAAGAGAAUAGAAAGGUUGUCGACUGGUGUUGUCUCAAUUUAACUAGAUUUAGAGGCGACAAACUAAGUUUUACUAAAGCAUGUUCAAAUAAUUUACAUUUUUAUCUUUGAAUUUCCACAAAUACUCACUUUUUUCAUGUAAAGACGAAGUGAAUGUUACUUGCAAAGCCCUAGGGCCAGAAUUUGGAAUUCAGAUUCGACAUCUAGUAACUUCGACACUCCCACCUAGAUAUAUCAUUCUUGUUUGUCUGUAAAUUUUUUUAAAGAGCAAAAGUUGUCCUUACAAGCAUGCUUUGUUUUUUCUCAAGGUCCCACAUACAUUAUAGAAAAUUCCAUAUUGCUUCAAGCUAAAUACGAGUUCUUAUGAUUGAGUCAUCAAAAGGAAUGUGUAAUGUAGGUAGUAACUUUCAAUUCUUUUAAACCUUUGUGUAACUAUUCAGUUGUGAUAUCGAUUGAUUCGUACUAUUUGUAAACUCGAGAUGUGAUAAGAAUGAAGGGAGUUGUUAAGGCUUUUACUUUUUAGAUACAAUAGUUAAUUACGUGGAGGUUAUAAAAAGAAGUUUAAAGGAAGAAAGAGAAGAGCAUAUGAUUAAAUGUAUAGUAGUAGUAGUCUAUAGAGCAUAAUUUAAAUCAUAAUUUAAAUUCAAAGGUCUCCGACUGGUGGUGUCCCAAUUUGGAAGUUUUAUUGCAAGAAACAGAGGUGAGAGUGCUUUUCAUUCUUAUACUUGAAGCUUGGAUAAUCUCACUUCUUGCUUUUCUGCUUGUGGUGAUAAACUUCAAGAGGGAGUCUCAUCCUGUACAUGUCUGAAGAAACUUCAACCCAAGUAACUAGGAAAAAUUAGUUUGUGGGAAUUACUUGUGAGAACAGGAUUAUCUAUUUCAUUUUCACAUUUGGCUUUGUAUGAUUCAAUUACAUCAAAGUGAUAUGUAAUUGGAAGAUUGAAUUGAAGACAUUUGGAUCCAAAGAUACGUAAUGGAGUUUGUAUUUUGUAAUCUGUGCAUAGUCAGACUUGGUUAGGUAAUAGGUGGACUUUUAGAAUGCUACUCUUUUUUAUUCUUAAACCCUAAGGCCUUAUUGUUAUAUACUUUAAAUGCACUAAUUUUAUUAGUUAGUUGAUAAAUGUUGGUGAAAAUGAUUUUUUUUCAUCAUCCUUUUUAAGAGUAGAGGCAUCAUGGUUGGUGUGGUUUUACUUCUAACAUUCAAUUAAUUGGCAUUUUGCACGUAUAAAUGAACACCAUCAUUUCUAUUCAUGAAAAAUGCUCAUCAAUUAAUGUGGGUUGAAAAAGAACAUCAGGAGUAGUUGUAUAUUGGUUUGAUGUGCCCUUGUUUAUAAUGUGUAGUUGCUAACCUAUCUAGUGCUUUAUGCACACAUACAUACACACGUAUACUCUCUGUAUUUUUCUCUUUUUGUCUCCAUGAACAAUGAGAAACCAAUACAAACAGAUGAAUUCUUUGUUUGGUUCUCUUUCUCUAUCUCAAUGUUGGGAAAAACUAAAUAUUUGAGGCAUUUGAUUUCAGGAAUUGUUACAAAGGUUUGAUCAAAAGGUUGUUGUAGUUGUUGUGGCAAGAUUAACCUUUUUUUAAAAUUUUAUAUUUUUUUAAUUUAGUUGAACCUUCAUGAAACAAUCUUUUUUUCUCCUUUUGGAGAGCCACACCAACCUACUUAAAUGCUUAUAUCACAAUAUAACUUAUAUUUAUUCGUUUAGGUCACCAUCAGUUUGUCUUCAAACAUUUUAAAUUGCAUCUUUUUUGGCUUGGGAAACUGAAAAAAUAAUUUGGGAGACGGCUCGAAGGUUUAGGGAAAGAAGAGAAAGGUUGAGUUUUUAAUUGAUAUUCCAUUUUUCAAUAAUGGUUUAUUCAUUCUUUUUCCUAUUGUGCUUUUUUCAUAAUUUUACAUCAUCAUGAUUCCCUGAUGUGUAGUUAUUCCUAACGUUGUUGACACUACUAUUCUUAUUCAUGAAUUUCAAGUCAUCCUAAACAUUUAUUUUGUUGUUUCUUUCAAAUAUGAUAUGUUCUUAUUUGAUAUUUACUCUCAUUAACAUAGUUGGUUCAAAUAUGGUAUAUGCUCAAUAUAUGAGGUUCUUUCUAAUUUAGUUAAAAUUUUGAAAGUAGUCUGUCUUUAUAUUGGAAAAGUUUUGUAGGGAAGGCACAUGUAUUCUUCUUUCUUUUUUACCAUUGUUUUAUCUUUUGAGUCCAUUUGUUAUGUUGAAGGGGAGAACUAUGUUGAAGGGGAGGAAGUGUCCAAUCGUGCAACUGUUGAAAGCAAACAGAAAGAAGUGCUCAAGGUUUGCAACUUGGAUGUGGAUAUUUCUGAGUAACUUUUACUUCUUGUUGUUUGCGAACCUUUUCUAUUGUCACACUCAGGUAAUUGUCACCGAGGUUUUGGAUGGUGACAAGUUUUAUGUUCAGACAAUUCCGGACCAAACAGCCACUUCUCUACAGCAGCAACUAGAGACUUUGAAUCUUCAAGAAGUCCCUUUAAUCUGUGGUUUUAGUCCUAAAAAAGGUGAUAUCGUCCUAGCUCAAUUUAGUUCAGACAACUAGUAAGGGUAAUUAUGAGUACCCUUUUUUAUUACGUCUUCUUUGAUUGGAGCUCACUUAAUCUAUUUAUGAAAUUUUGCUACUGCAAAAUGUUGUCUUUCUUUGUCUUGACUAUUAGAAAUUUUUCUUCUUUCCACUACUUUUUUGAAGUUCUAACAAUCAUUUUCUAAUAUUUUAAGUUGGAGUUUUGUUUAAGUUAUCACUUGAAUUCGAGCUUUUGUUUAAGUUAUCAUUGAUAAUAAAUCAUGAACAUGUCUCAUUAUUAUUUAUGAGCAUCAGUGUUACUUUUUGACUAAAUCUCUGUAUAAUAUGAAAAUUAUGGUUCCAAAUUGGCUACUAGUUUGUUAAACUAGAACAAAUAUUUUAUAGCUCUUGAUUUGGUCAUUGGAAGCCUGCAAGAAUUAUUGGAAGCAUAAUUUAUUGUUUUCUUUUGGCAAGUAUAAUCUUUAUCUAAGAUGAAGAGUAAUCCAAUUUAAAUGCUAGUUUUGGAAAAGUUUGGUAGUUCUUGACUUAGCUAGCUUACUGUUUAACUUCUCUCAUAUUUAGGUAGGCUAUGCUACUAUGGCUAUUGGAGCGCCUUGGAUUUUUCAUUCUAUAAAGCAAUUGGUUGAACCAUUACUCUUUAGUUGUCAUGUCGUUCCAUUGAUGCUUACAGGUAUUCUAUUAAACUCCAGAGCUAUGGUUAUUAAGUUAAAUAGAAAUCAAUUUUUCUUCUGGCCAGUAAGGUACUGGAUAAUUUUAUUAUCUGCUACAUGCGUAGUCAGUCUACUUUUCAUUAUUGCAUGGUUAGAACUUUUAAUUUAGUUCAUUCUUAGGAUUUCAAUCUCUUGAACUCAAUCAUUUAAGCACAACUUUACUCAUCUUGACACAUCAAAAGGCUUAGUUGAAUAAUUCUACCAAAGAGGUAUGAUUAGGAAAUUAUCUUUGCACUUGCUUAGAAAUUAAACCACUCUCUGUUAUCUCAGCAAUAUCUAGUAUACCAAGUCAACAAAAUUCAUUUACAGGUACUUUAUAUUUAGUUAAACAAAGUUUUUAAAUAGUUUUUAUAUGGAAGACCUUUUAUUGGUUCCUCUUUCCAUUUCAAGUUUGAAGAGAUUGAAUAUGUUAGAAACUUAGAUAUCGAACUUGUAAUAUGAAUUAAAUGUAUUGGUUGUUAUAUGGUGAUGAAAUAAAAUGUUUUUAUGAGCCAUGACUCGUUGCUUUCUUUUGUUUGUACGUCUGCAAUCUUCUUAGAUUAGGUCUUUCCAUCGCAAUGGAUUUUCUUGCAAGAAAUGAGAUUUACUUUGACAAGAUUUGUUCUAUAGCUUUUACAACUAUCUCGUUUAUUUUUAAUGAUUUUUCUUGAAUGAAUUAUGUAUUUAGAUCAAUCAGUUUCUUUUCAGUCUGGUGGUUGCAUUUCAUAUUCAUUAGUUUUUUAUGCAAUUAAAUGAAUUGUCUCUCUUUUUUAUUUGUAAGGUUAUUAUAGCUUUAGCCAAAAGUUAAAAGCAUACUGUUCGUCUAUCUUUUCGUAGUUAUUGCAUACGGUAUGUUAGAUAGUUUUUUGUUGACCCAAUCUUUAUAGAUCUUCACAUUUAAGUCCUCAUUGCUAUAUGCCAGUUGGAGUUAGAAGUUAAAGUUCUUAGUUUUAAUGCUAAUCUUAUUUCGUUUGUAGAUUUCAAGGAGUUGAGGAUAACAAUCGAUGAGGCUUUGAUCAGUUUGGAGUCAUCUAAGAGUGUUGUGGUGCUUGGAGGAGGGUGAUAUCUCUUUUUCUUAUUAUUACAUAUACUUUCUGUUUUAUGAUUAAGAACAAUGUUCAUAACGGGUUUUGUAAUAUGAAUGAGAACAAUAUGUUUCUAUGUUGUAAGUAUGUAAUGACCAACUAUAUGUAUAUGUUUCAAUGAUAUAUAUGCAAUUUGUUAGUUAUUUGAUUGAAAAUUUGGGUUGAUUCAAGAAACGUAAAUAGUUCAAUUGAUCAUGUUGUAUACCAUUCUUGGACUUCAAAACAGGUGUAAUAUAAUUAUAUGGAUAUUUCAAAUUGUACAAUUUUUCAUUUAAAAGAAAAAUAAAAGUCUUGGCAUACAAAACGUGUCAAGAAUAAACAAAUUAUUGACAUUUAUAAACUGUCAAGUAUAAUUUUACUUGACGUGUAAAAACUGUUAAACAAAAAACUCUCUUAUUCUUGAUAUUGGAUUACUUGAUGUGUAAAAAGCGUAAAGUAAUCUCGUAUACUUAACGUUUUUUUAUCAGUCAAGUAUAAUUGUAUAACUUGUCGCUUAAACAGCAAGUAAAUUUUCCUUUUCUUUCUUUACAUUAGAUUAGUUUGACGCAUUAACAAGGAUAAAGUAAACAAAUACUUGACAGCUAAAAAGAGUGAAGUGUUGCCAGUUUUGGCUCAUGGUGCAUCCUCAUGUAUUAGUAAUUGUAAUGUGUGAAGUGGAAGAUUGUGUCUCACUCUAAUUUUGGCUAUCCGUUAGUAGUUAUCUUCUGGUCUAAUUCGAAAUAUUCGGUGAUAAACAAAGAGUUAGAAAAUCAUAGCGAAGUUUUGUCCCUUAGUAAAUUCUUUUUGAUCUUUGAAUAGCGAGUCGGUGAUUCCUUUCCCCUGCUGGCCAUGAAUUUCGAUUCAAAAUUCCAGCUGAAAUACAUGAAAAGAGCAUAACCCUCGUUCUUCUAUCCGUGAAAAUAGUUAGUUCAUUUUUUAUUUUUUAUUUUUUGUUAUUAUUAAUCUUCUGAUGUUCAAAUGUUAUUGUAAGAUUAUGUUGGUGGUAAAUUUGCAAUAAGAUGCCAGAUGUUAUUAGAUUCUGUCCUAUCCCGAUUCUUUUUGUGGGAUUAUUUAUAAUAUGCCUAAUGUGUUCUUGCAUUUUUUUUUUUUAACUCUCUUCGAAAGUGCUGGUUUUCAUCUAAAAAUGAAAAAAAGAAAGAAAGGAAAACAGUAUAUAAAAAACAUCACUCAAGUGUUGAAGUUCUUUUGUCUUCUGUCUUAUAUUCUUACAUUUUCAUCUCCAUCCCUACCCAUCUUCUCCAAAGUUUCCACUAAAGUUUCCUUAUGUUUUGGUUUCAUUUUUAUCUUCCAUCUCUCUCUCUCUCUCUCUCUCUCUCUUGACUUUUUUAUUUUUCUUUUCAUUUUUUUGGAUGUUAGCCUUCCUUCCUACUGUUAUGUGUUACCCUUGAGCCUCAAAUUGACAUUCCAAGAAAUGAGAUAUUAAAUUUUGCACCUAAGAAAAGUUACCUAUGACCACAAACAUUUACAACCCUGACCACAGAAAACAAAGGGAAAGUGGAUUUGUAGUACUUUCCUUCAAACAUUUCGUAGAUGUAUGAAAAGAAGAAAAAAUAUGUGGAGGUGUCCAUCAAACAUUUUACUUCGCCUCGCUUCCACACAAUUUGAAGAGAAACAUGGCAAUCUUUGAUGUCCUUCAGUUUUCUUUCAUGAACCCAAUCCAUGUGUUAUCCUGCGUAUCUUCAAAAAAUAAUUGAAAACUAGCAUAUAUAAUUGCAAAUCUCAGGUAACUACGUACUUGGAGCCAGAUUUUCUCAUAACAUGGCCACCAUUUCUCACGUAACUAUGUACUUCCAAUUGAUGCCAGAAAACCUUAGCCAAACCACCCACUACGUAAUUGCUUUGUUCAUAACUGCAAUUUUAUCAUUAUUUUGUUCACAGAGAGGUUUUAUCAUCUUUGGAAAGGAUGAGAGUCAGUAUACUACUUGGGUCAUGUGCACUUGAUAUCUCAUUCUAUUACCAGAGAAAUAAAAAUCAUUUCCCAUGGGACGUAGAUGACUACCCUAAAUUUGUCGUACCUAUUAAUGCUACUCAAUUUCUUCGUUAGCUUUACCUUGACUUAACAGACUAAAAUAUAAUGCAGAAACUUAAAGUAUGCCAAGGAAGAUACAGAAUUCCAUUGUCACUCUUAUAACUUAUCUUAAUCUUAAGCAAGAUCCUUGACUUACCAUGGUUGCAUAUAACGUUUGUUAAACAAACGUUAUAUGCAACCAUGGUAAGUCAAGGAUCUUGGAGACUACUUGAAAGUACUUUGAUGCACCUUGGAUGGCACAACAUUGGUUGUAUUUGUGUGGUUCUACUUAGCCUAAUUUCAAUUGAAUUUCGAUACUGUAACAGUAAUUAUUUGUUUAUUGUUUGGAGAGAUACAAAUGCAUUGAUGGACUAUGACCAGCUUUCUUUCUUAACUCUCAAAACAACCGAGUAAACAAAAUAUCUAAUUACUAGCGCAUACCUUAUGCUUGUUGGAGUAGGAUAAUGAAUAUCGAUGAACGACCCAUUAUCUUAUUUUAGAGUAAUGGAAUUCUGAAGGCAAUGCUUUUUCCUUGUUUGGUAUGUACAACCAUUUCCAACCAACCUCUCAUUUAUAUAUAUUUAUGAGUUUCUUGAUAAUAAAGAAGAGGUCAGACUUCUAGAUAAAGAAUUAGUUGAGAUAUUUGAAGUUUUUAAGAAAAAAUUCAUGUUUUCGAUCACCAAUUUGAUCGUACAAUCGUAUUCUAAAGUUAGAGAGUAUUAGAGAAGACUCUUGUGGUUGUCUAUGACUUAGAAUCAACCAAAACAAUCCAAAACUAAAGAAGAAUUUUGAAUUCAAAGGUUAGUGCUUUUUGUUUUUAUGUUUUUCUAUUUUUCAAUUUCACGUGUUAAGUUAGAUGAAAUUAGAAUGUUGUUUUGAUAUUGUGUUUGGUACCAUGCUUAAUUUUUCCAUCAUACUAAUAAUAAGAUAUGGGUUUUAUGCCUAUAAGUGAUGUUGCAUGCAAAAUAGUGUGGCCUCAUAUAACAAACAAUCUAACAAUCAACCAAUAGCUAAAACAAGUAACUAAGGAUUUAUUUACCAACUUUCCUUACCCUACAUGUUCUUCAUUGAUAUGCUAAACUUGGUAAUCUUAUUCCACCUGACGCAUUUCAUGCUCAAAAUUUAAUAUUGUAAGCUCUUGCUGUUGUAUGAAUUAAUACAAUAUUACUAAUUUUCUUAUAUUGAAACUUUAGAUUUCUUAACAAAUGAACCGUGCACAUGAAAUGAAACACAUUAGGAAAUAUUAACUCUACAAGUUUACAAAUGGUUAUGUGUCUCCUUUGACCAAUUACUCUCUUCAGUUGAGUGUAAAGCCAAAUUCAUAAAGAAUUGUUCUCAAAAUCAACUAGGAAAAUUUGGUUAUUAGUAAAAUGAAAAUUAUAUUCCAAAUUCGAAUAGAGAUUCCAAUCAAAAUUUGUCCAAUUUUCAAAGAUGGGGCAUUAUUUAAAGUAUUGUCUCAAAUCAAAAUAAAGGCAAACUCCAAAAAAAUUUCAAAUCAAAGUUGGGGGUGAAAUUCUACAUCAAAUUCGCAUAAAAGAAUUGAGUAUAUUACAAGGCAAAAAAAAAAAAAAAAGAGAAAAAAAGUUAGAAUUCCAUAUACUACACAGAUUUUAUUUUGCAAUUAACAUGGACCAUACAAUCUACUUUGGUUGAAGUUAAAGUAUAUUCUCAAACAAAUGAAUAAAUUCAUCGUUUGUUUCCUUGGUGUCAAAUGUGUGAGGCAAACAACAUUUCAAAUAAAAAAAUUUAGAAAAAUUUGACCUAAAUUCUAAUUUUUUUUGGAUAAUUGCAAAUUUGACAAUUAAUUUUAAAAUAAUUAAGUAUAUAGCAACAUUUUUAAAAAAUUGCAAAUAUAGUAAAAUUUGUCAAAUUCUAUCAAUGAUAGAGUCUAUCACUAAUAGACCAUGUUAUAAAAAUUGGUCUAUCACCGAUAGAUCAUAUGAAUCUAUCAGUGAUACAAGUUUAUCAGCGAUAGUUUUGCUAUAUUUGCAAUUUUUUAAAAGUGUUGUUAUAUCCUUAAUUAUUAUUCCUCAAAUGAUCAUCUAUUACAAUUACCCAAUUAUAAAUGAAUUAAGUUGAGUAAUUAAAGUGGCUUGAAUCUAACCCAAUUUCAGCCCACUGGUGAAAUUUUUUGUCAAAGAUGACAUUCGACUCGAUUCCAUCAUACAAUUGGGCCUAAACCCACCUUAAAACCCAUGAAAAUUCUCCAUAAAUAGAGGUAUUACCCUUUCAUUCGAGGAGGGAAGAAGCAAAUGGAAGAAUUCAUGAUGAAGAUUUGAAGAUUCCACUUCUAAAGCUCUAAAACAUUAAGCAUUAAUCAUCACACACAUGAUAUAUGCUUAAACAGCAGACACAUAAUAUUUCAUAUGUGUUAUAGUAUAUAUUAAAUAUCAUUAAGCAUUAAGCACAAUACAUAAUAUAUUAUUAAACACCAGACACAUAAUGUAGAGACAUUUUUUAAAAUAGCAAAAUAAAUUAAAAUAUUUACAACAUGUAGCAAAAUUUUGAAUUCUAUCAAUAAUAGAAACUGAUAGACUUUCUAUCAAUGCCAGUGAUAUAAGCAUAUCGGUGUCUAUCAAUGUCUAUUAUUAAUAAAAUCUUAAAAAAUUUAUAUAUAUUGUAAAUAUUUUGUCAAAUUUGUUAUUUUUGAUCAUUCCCUCAUAAUAUAUUACAUAUUAUACAUUGUAUAGAAAAUAUCAUUAGCAAUACAUUUUACUAAUUGUAUUGAUAUAAAUUUGUACUUUCACACAAAGUAAAACUUGUUACAAAAUUAAAAUAUGUACACAUACAUUGUUAUAUAGUAUUAUGUUAAAUAUACAAAGGUAUAUAAAAUCGAAAACAAUUUUAGUCACAUUAAGAUUUUACAAAUUAACUUUUAAUAUAUGAAAAUUAAUUCAAAUUAGAUGAAAUAUAAUAAAUAUAUAUCAUAAAUUAUUAAAUUGCAUUAAAUAUAUGCAAAACAAAGAAAUGACAUAGUAUAUAUAUUUGACUGAUUGUAAAUAUGGUUAUAUAUUAUAAAUUAUGUGGCAUAUAUACUCUAUUCCCUGUAAAUUUUCUUUAUUGAAAUAUUUACCGACAUAUUAUAUUUCACAACUUCAUACACAUAAUUAAUACUAUGAAACAAAUAUGUACUCACUGAAAAAUUUUGAAGGAGAUGAACUGAAUAAGAAAGAAUGAACGAAGAGAGGGAUCAGACGAAUGAAGAAUUUUUUAACAAAGCCACCAAAAGAAAAAUAAUUAAGGAAUAAUUUUGAUUCUAAUAUUACAAUAACAUAAUUAAUAACAUACCAUAUUUACAUAAGAUAUCUAAUAAAUACAAAUCUUAUUUAUAUGUUAUAGUUCACUUUUUUUAUUUUUUUAAAUAUAUUAUUAAUAAUAAAAAUAGGUAAUUUGGUCUUUUGGUCUCAACACUUGUGUAAAAUUGAGGCUUAUUAAGACAUUUAUGAAAAAAUUGACAAUUAGAUUCAACUUGUUAUCAUCUAUCAUAUUUAGGGUAUAGUACUUAAAACUUCAAAAAUUUAACUAAAUUAGUUCUAUGCUACCUUAAUUUUUAAAUUAUACAACUGACAAAUUCAAUCACCCAAGCUCAAAUUGAUGGGCUUGAAGUAAAAUGUCGAAAAUGCCUCUAGUUUUUCAAAUAAUUAUAGUCAUUUGAUAACCAUAUAAUUGUGAUGUGAUCAUCAUGUGUCAUCUGAUUACAACUAAUUGUUUUUAGUUUUCAAUUCUAGUUAGUGGUGUAAGAUACUUUUCUUGGAUUACCUUUUCAUUUUUAUAAGAUUAUUAUUUUAUUUAGUUUGCCUUUUGUGAUAGUCAUUUAAUUACUUUUUUUGUCAUAGUAAUUUUUUAUAUUACUUAUGUGAUUAUCGUCUGAUUACUAUGUUAUACUAAUUAUAAAUGAUAUUGGUUUGUCAUCUUAUUGUUAUUUAAUUUAAUACCAAAUGAUAUCUAACUGUAAAUGAAAUCAAUUGGUACAUCUAAUGACCUUGCCUUUGUUUUUUUUAUAAGUAUUAAGAAUUUGUUAUAUAAUCGGUAAUAGUAUGAAUUUGGUACUAUCGCUAUAUUAGGAUUGUGUGCAAUAGAUAUUAUUGAGAAAAAAUUAAAAUAAUAAAAAAGGAAUAUUGAAGAAAGUCCCACAAAUGGUCUCUUCAGUGUUUUUGAAGUCAAACAACAAUCCAUCAGUCUCCUCAUCUUCCAUACGCAACCCGACAACCGAACCUCUAAACAACUUGGCUCUCUGUUCUUGUGGGUAAGUUUCAAUUUCGGAUAACCAUUCUUAAGUUUUCUAUUCUUUUGCGGGGAUAAGAACAUUUCUCCACAUUUCUCUCUCUGUUUCUUCAAGAACAAGAACAACUACAAGUAGUGAGAUCGAACCAUGGAUUCCUCUUCACCUUCUUCCAUUGAUGCCCUUCCAGAUGGGCUCAAAGAUAAAGUGUCAACGGUUGACCCCUUUUUGAUCGAAGCCCUUCACAACCCUCGACACCGUCUAACCAGUCAGUAUUUUCUUUUAUUCUAAUUUUGGGUUUUGUUCAGCUUCAAGUUUAACAAUCUUGUUUCCUCUUAUUCAUUUCCCUCUUUCUUGUUGGAUGACAUCUUUUAGGGUUUUUAUUUUUAUGAACUUCCAACUGUGGUUGGUAAUUGUGAAUCUGUUAUUGUAUUUGUUUAAUUCUCAACAAAGGGGUUGUAGCUUUUGUCUCAACUUUGAUGCCACUUACAUAGGUUUUGUCUUAGCUUUAAUGGGCAUUUGCUAGUUUUAGUUCAGAUUAAGUAAGUUUUUGCCUCCAUGGAACUAGAAGAGAACCCUGUUCGCUAACUAUUUGGUUUUUAAUUCUCAAUUUUUGAAAAUUAAGUCUAUAAAUACUCAUCCAACCUUUCUUAUUCUUUACCAAUGGUUUAAAAACCAUACCAGAAUUUGAAAACUUGUUUUUGUUUUUCGAGUUCAACUCUUUUCAAAUUUUGGCAUGGUUUUUAAACCACCAGUAAAACAGUAACCUAAGAGUUCAACUCUUUUAAGAAAUUGAAAGGAUAUAAGUUAAUUUUCAAAAUUAAAAAACACCACAUGGUUAUCAAGCGAGGUCUAAGUUUCUUUUUGUUGAUAUUAUUCCCUUUUUUCAAUAUACUCUGCUCAUUGUAGUUUAUUUUUACCAUAGUUCUGCGGAUGGAACUUGAUAUUCAAAGGUUCUUGCAAAACCAAGAUCAGCAGUUGUUUGAGUUCCAACACUUCCCUACUUCGUACCUUCGACUCGCAGCUCAUCGUGUUGCUCAACACUAUGGUCUGCAGACAAUGGUUCAGGAUAAUGGUAUAGAUGGACAAGGGAGAAUUUUGGUGAAGAAAACUGUCGAAGCUAGAUUUCCAACCAUUUGCUUAUCCCAAAUACCUGCAAAACAAUUGGCUGAUGAUAAACCUGGGCACGUUAAAAUUGCUAUUAGGCCGAGGCCAAAUAAGUUGUCUGAUGAAGCAGGUAAUUGUAUGGCUAAGCAAAGUCAUGCUAGGACUGUGGAGCAGAGGAAGGAAGAGUACGAUAAGGCACGUGCUCGAAUAUUCAGCAGCCAAGGUAGUAUUGGUCCAGUGGAGGUAUUGCCCCAUACUGUCAUCGAGGGGCUUGGUAUACCUCCAAACAGAGAUAGGGUGGAAGAUUGUCGAGUGAACGAUGUUGAGAAGUAUACAAGUGUUACAGAUGCUGGGAAUGGGGCUUCUUCUCGGGUUGCCAUUUUAAGAGAUAGGGAAAAGGAUCUUAGUGACCCAGAUUAUGAUCGGAGUUAUGAAAGGUAAUGGCUCCUUUGAAACAGACUACACCUAUGCUGCUAGCUGAUAGUGCCAUUAUUACAUAUGCUGUUAUUGGUUUCUCCCUAUAUGAUGAGACCAUUUUAGCUGAUAGUUUUUCAAAACCUCAAUUCUUAUCAAACUUAUUAUAUUCAUUAUGCUAUGUAUUAUCUGAAUGGUUGGGUAUCUAAAUGCAUAUUAAUCAACAACUUGUUCUUCAUUUGUAGGUAUGUUAAGAGCCUUCCAAUUAAUCUGACUCCGAGCUUGAAUUUUGCUCCUUUCACCGUGCAAAACAUCACACCUUCAUUUACCGGUUACCAUGUACCAAGGAACGAGGUUUCACUGGGCUAUGUUUCUCCUUCACCAAUCAAGACUGUAGGAUUGAAUCAGGUGUCUAGACCCUCGGCCAAUGUGCCGUGGCCAUGUGCAGGGAUGCCAUACCCACAUACUGCUUUUCAGGUACAUUUAAGAUCUUUACAGUACACAGCCUCUGUUCUAUCACUUGAAUUGAUUAUUUGGUAAAUCUAAAAAGUUACAUCACACAACUUGGGUUCAUACUAGUGUUUACAAAAUUCACUUGGAUCGAUCUUGGUUAAUCUAGAAACAAUAUGGAGUAGCUACGAAAGUAAUUUGGCAAUGCUACAUAAAACUGCUUUUGCUAAUUUUAUCCGAAGAUCUCCCCCUUCUUCGAAUUUGACCAUAAAAUAGUUGGAUGAUGUUCUCCCUUUGCUAUUGUACCCCAAAGGUUAGGACACUUGGAACUUACACUUGGAACUUGCUCCUUCUCAUCAAUCUUAUUAUAACAGUGAUGGAGUAAUAGAUGAUAGGUUUUUCUCUCAACUCACGACAUAAAAUGCACCUAUUUGAUCAAAAAGAUGAAUUCGGUACACUGAUGAAUUCAUUGCUCCAAAAAUCAUUUUAAAAAAUAACCCUUCUAAACACACAAUACCUGUCUGAAAGUCUAUCUUCCAACUGUCUUAUCUUUCACAGUUGAUUCAAUAGUGUUACUGCCUUCUACUCGCUUGCUUGCUUUAUUUCUUUAGUGGAGAUACAUAAACUGUUUUAUUCCUUCUAAUCUCUUCUAACUAAAUUGUCUAAACGGAAGCUACGAUCAUUUCCGUCCAAACUUUUAUUCUAAAAACCCGUAUUAGAAACUUUCUAAACUUAACUCACAACUUCAUUUCAUCAUUUACGGUUGAUUCAGUAAGAUCGUCACGUCCUACCCUCUCCUUGUUCGACCACUAGGACGUUUUAAAGAAAACUAGAAUCAUUGUCUAUUCCAAACCUUGUUUGUACAAACGUCAUUUGAUUCUUACUUUUUCUUCAAUUUUUGCAAUUACUUUGUGUUGACUUAUUUUUGGUGUUAUUGCAGGCUCCAUUGUAUCAACAAUCUUUGAGUUUUGAUUAUUUGCAAUACAAUUGAAUACAGCAGUUAGGAAAUAGUGUUAAUUAAAAACUGAUUUACUCAGCUAAUUAUAUACUCAUUUUGUUGGUUCCAAAACCUCCCGUUAGAAUCAAUUGUUUUAAAUUAAACUCUUUUAUUUAUACUUACUGUCCUUUCUAAUAUUCAUUAUUGAGUGUCUUUCUGGGCACAGUGUUCAGGAUUCUAAAUUUCAGAUUUUGGUUUUUUAAAUGGACCAAUAAAAGAUAUUUUUUUUUUUCUUUCGAGAACAUUCCAUUUUUAUUUUGAAUUCAUUUUAAAUUAUAUGGCUUUGUUGUUUAAUAAAAAUAAAAUAAUUCAACUGAAAUCUAAUAUAGACAAACAUCUCAUGUUUUGACGUUUCUUUGCAAAGGAUAUUAUAUGUUGUUGGAUUGGUUUUCUUUUAAUGUUAAAUGUAAUUUUAGUAAUAAAAUUCAAUAGGUUGGAUGUUACUAACUUGAAACUGAAUUGUAGUUAUAUAACUAUUGAUAAUCAACGUAGGUUAUGGAUAUCUAUAUCAUAUAUAUAUAUAUAAGUAUAUUUUAUAAUACUCUUCCUUAAAUAUUCAUUUUAUAUAAAAUAAAUACCUUGUUAAGAUCUUCCUAGUUUUUAAAAAAAAUGUUAGAGAAGGAAGAAGAGUACAUUAUUUUGUAUAAUUUAAUAAUUUUUUCAUUAAAAACUUAAGAAAUCCAAUGGAAAAAUACAAUAGGCAAAGAAAAAGAGUAAUAUUUUUACUCCAUGAGUGCAAUUUCUAUUCUCCUAAUCCAUACAUUACUUGAGUUCUUCCUGUUGUCGCAUUUUAAUGUAGGAUAUCAGUUUUUCACAUGUUGAUAUAUGUAAUGUCUUUGUGAUUAAGUUUGACAAGUUGUCUUUUGAAGAAAUUUGUUGAAUAUCGUUGUCACCAUUUCUUCACCGUGUAUAGAAGAGUUUUGGUGAGAUAUGCUUUGUUCUAUUGCAUUUUAUAUAUACUCAUUUGAUUUGUGUCAUACAAGCGGUAUUGUCUUCAAAUAAUAUUGUUGGUGAAUUUUUACUAAAAGAUAAACUACAUGUUUCUCAAAUAUGAUGGGUCAUUGAUCUCAACCAUACACAUUUUCGAUUAGCUACAUGAAUUGCAAGAAUUUCUGCAUAAUUUAAUGAGGUAGUGGUAAUGUUGUGCUUGUUUGAUUUGUUGGAAUAAAACAAAGGAAUUCUUACAAAAAUAGCAAAAAAAAAUCGACUCAUGUCACUACAUUUUUUAAAUUGCAAAGGUAGAAAAUUUAAAAGUCAAUAAUAUUAUGAUUACCAUCUGAUAGUCGUAUGAUUAUGGUCUGUUAGUAGCCUGAUAUCACUAAUUUUGUUAUAUUGAGAAUAUGCAAAAAAAAUAGAUGUUUUUAGAUGUUUUUUUCUAAAUAUUUUUGUCAUUUGUGCCAUUUUUCUAAAAUAAACAUAAUAUCAAUCGUCCCUUAAAGACAACAAAGUAUCUACUUAACUCCAUUUCAAUGUCUUUUUUGUUGGAUAAGGACUGUAUUGCUAAUAAAUUUACUGAAAAUGUUAUAUCUCGUCUCGUCUUAGUAGCGAGAUAUAUUAGUGCAUCUAUUGCACUACAGUAUGGUACUUCAGGACCAAGUAAUUAUUCAUUAUCUUCUUGAAAUUGAAAUAUAUCAUUUUUCACAUCUAGUGAUCAAACUACCAUUGAAAUGUUCAAUAGGCAUGUUUUAUCCAUGAAGAAUCUUUUUUAAAAAAAAUUUAUAUAUGUCGAUUGAUGAAUAAAAUUUUCAUCAACUAAAUACUCGAUUUGCAAGCCAAGGAAAAUUUUCAUUUUGUCUAGGUCUUUCAUCUCAAAUUCUUUUUCAAGAUAUUCUAUUGUCUUUGAAAGCUAUUUCAGGGUUCCAAUUAUAUUUAAAUAAUCAACAUAUAAAACUGUAAUAGUAAAUCCUGACUAUUUACUUAUAAGUGAUUGUACCACAUUCUAUUUACUUAUAAUUGAUUGUACCACAUUUGUCCUGAUUGCUUCAAUCCAUAUAAUUUGAUUGAAUAUAAUUAUCUAGAGUUUGAAUUAUAUGAUUCAAGUAUCUUAAAUUUUUCAGGUCUUUCAUAUAGAUUUCAUUUUCCAAAGAUCCAUACAUGUAUAUUGUAACUACAUUUGGAAGAUGCAUAUCAAGUUUUUCACAUAUAAUUGGUUAACUAAAUUUCUUAACGUAAUAGCUAAAGGGAUAAAAGCCGUAGGACAACAGAAGAUUUUACCGAACCAUUUUUCAAUUUAAUUUGAGAAUCUCAAAAUAUAGUACAUAUAUAGGCAAAAUAAUAUAAAAACAUAUUUUCUUAUUAAGACUUAAAAGCUAAACAUGCUUUCUAAUUAUAGAUUAGAGAAAGAAUAACUUAUUUGUUUAUGUCUCUAAUCUACAAAGUAAAUCUCUAAAUUGGAACACUAUCCGUCGGAUACCUUAUCCUCUAGGAUAAGAUUGAUUUGUGGGAAUUAAUUGGGAUGAGAAAAAUGUUUAGAGAGAAGUUUUCUUUUUUUUUUUUUGCAGAGAGCGAAAACAUUAACUUUUUUUAUUAAUUGAUUAAAUAAUUUUCUCUCUAGAUAUUUAUAGCUAUUUCCUUCGUGGAGUGGAAAGGGGAGUCGGAGAGAAUCAUUAUAUUAUUUUAAUUUAAAAAGUAUUAAAUUAAUAUAAAUUUCAAAUCUACUAAUUAAUUAACCAUUAAUCGAUUAGUUAAUAAUUAAUUAAAGAGGCUUUUGCAAAAAUAACAAAAAAAAUUAUUAUAGUAAAGCUCAUGUCACAACAUUUUCUAAAUUUACAAAAGUAUCAAAUUUAAAAGUAUUGACCCUUUGAUAGCCCUAUGAUUACCGUCUAAUAGCCGUAUGAUAUCAUUAGUUUUGUCAUAUUCACAAUAUGCAAAAAAUUGGUGUCAUAAACUGUUUUUCUUUAAAUAUGUUUUUGUCAUUUGAUGCAAUUUUUCUUAAUUAGAUCAUAUUUAAUUAAUAUUUCAUUUAAAUCUUACUUAAUGAAUAUCUCUCCAAUAUCUUAUAGUUUUAUAUUAAUUUAAUUUAAUUAAAUAAAACUAAACUACUCAUUAUUUUUUAAUUAAUUAAUAGUUAAAUUAAAUAUCUUAUAUUUAACUUAAAUUAAAUUUGAAUCAUAAAUAUAAGUUUCUCUCCUAACCAAUAAUUUUAACAUGAAUCUAAUUCACAUUAAAUUAAUACUUGAACUCAUUCAAAUAUUUUAUCUCUCAUAAAUUAAUUUUGAAUCAUAUCCAAAAUUAAAUUUAUAUAAUAAAGUUUGAUAAACUUUAUAUUACAAUGUAUCACGGUUUAUUAAACUAAUUCCCAAAAUAGUUUUGAACAUUUCAAAUUAUAACGAAUAUAAAUAAAUUUCAUUAUCCUUUACGAGCUAAAAAGGGGACUUAAGGGACCUAUAGAUCAGAAGUUACAACGAUAUGAGAUUAAUUAGCUAAACUCAUUAACCACAUUAAUCAAUAUUCCUUAACUGUGUGUACACUCCAUUAUAGACUCAUAGCUGAACUCUUCUCACUGUAGAUAUAUUUUUGUGUCUACGAAUAUAAACCAAUAACAUUAAGUUAGUCCUUCACGAGUGUUCGUAACACAAAUUGGGUUAAAUUACCAUUUUAUCCAUGGGUUACCUCUAAUCCUUAAAUAUCAGUGCUCAUUUAAUGAACAACCUAUUUAUGAUCCUACCAAUAAACAGAAAUCUCUCUUGUACCAUAGAGAGAGUAGAGUCAUUUGUUCAAGUCCUAGAGACAUCAAUUAAGGAAACACUCAUUAAUUAGACUAUAUCGAAAAAACUUUAUUCCUUCUUUCCAAAUGACAAAGGUCCCUAUUUAUAGACUCGAGAGUGUUCCACAAAUUAGAAAAAUUAAUAAGAAUCAAAUCAAAAUUGGAUAUUAUACAAAUAAAAUAAAAUUUUAUUUGUUUAAAAUAAAUAAAGUAAAUUAAAUUAGACAUUUUGAGAUUUUGUGAAAAAUUAAUAAAUCAAAUUGGUAUUAAAAGAUUUUUUUUAAUUGAUUUUCUUUUUUUUCCCUAAAAUGAUAUAAAUAAGUCAAAAAGGAUAUUAGAAGAUUUUAUUUAAAACAAAUAAAUUCUUUUUUUCUAAAAUAGUACAAAUAAGAUAAAUGUGAUAUUAAAAGAUUUUUUAAAAUAAAUUGAUUUGUCCUUUUAAAUGAUAAUUAUGCUCAUUAAAGAAAAUUUUAAAAAAAUGAUUAUUAGAAGAAAAAAUAAAAAUCUUAGCCAUUAUUAUAUUUUAAAAAAAGAAUAUAAAAAAUGUAGGAUAAAAUUAGGUGGCUAUAAUAAAUUUAGAAAAUAUAUUUUUAGGGAAUACAACAUUUUUACUAAUAACAAUCUUAAUCUUAUGAACAUAAAUUCUCAUCGCAUCAAAUUACAAACACAACAAUCAUAAUGAAUUCCACAUGUUUCGUUCAUCGAGAUGUUCUUCGUUCACCAGAAUCUCACGAUAGACUUGGGAUUUUGACCAGAGCCUUUCAAAAUCACUCUUUUUUUUUUACCUGGGAUUCACUUUCACCAGCGUCUCAUGAUACAACCUUACCUAGAUCUAGGAUUCACUUUCACCAACAUUUACCUGUCUAGACCUAGGAUGCACUUACACCAGCAUCUCUCGUUAAACCUGAAAUUUCCACCAGCGCCUUGUGAUACAUCAUACCACACCACACAUCAUUCAAUCAUUACACUUAACAAGAUAAGAAACGUUUUCUCCAAAAGCUUUACAUGCAACACAUCGCAUCUCAUUAGUAUCAUUCUCAAAUGUUGAACAUCAAACAUAAGAUUACAGUGUAUAAUCAUUCACAGAGCAUUUCUUUCAUUUUAUAAAAGAACAUUCAUUUAAUUUAUAAAGAUCACUCACAACAAUACUUAGCAUCAACUUCUUCUUAGCUUAUUUUUUCCUUUUUUGCUUUCAACUUUCUCUCCUCUCUUUGUAGUUCCCUCGAUCGACCUUUCAACACUUGGCACUUUCUGUUAACAAUUUAUUAGAAUGCUUAGCAUUUUAUGCCCUUUUCUUUCGACCUCUUGGUCUUAUUUAUAGUGACUAUUUGGAAUGAUAGGUCAUUUCUACACUUUACACAUGUCAAGCUACCACUCAGCAGACCAUACAACCAACACAAUUUUGACACGUUGUCAAUUGUUACUCGUGAUUAGACAUUUUUUUUUUUAACAUUAACCUUAUCUCUUUAGAAUGCUCAGUUCUUUAUCGAGUGACUCUCUUUUUGAGAAGCAACAAAACAUUUACUUUCCCUCAGAGGGUCGUCUAGUCACCUCAUGUGAAUAUCCAUCCUUUCAACAAAUGCCUACUUUGUCGCAAUCUUACUUAGGUGUAGGGACUUCUCCUCAUGUUACUACAUAGAACACCUAGUUCUUUGCAUUAAAUACCUGCUUCUUCCUC
rnacentral:lncRNA from 1 species